rnacentral:lncRNA from 1 species
GCUGACAAAAAGAAGAUCGAGGAUGCCAUUGAACAGGCUAUCCAGUGGCUUGACAGCAACCAGCUUGCUGAGGCCGAUGAAUUUGAGGACAAGAUGAAGGAACUUGAAGGCCUCUGCAACCCUAUCAUUGCCAAGAUGUAUCAAGGUGGUGCAGGUCCAGAGGGUGCUGCUCCAACUGAUGAAGAAUAUGCUCCUUCUGGUGGAAGUGGUGCUGGUCCCAAGAUUGAGGAAGUCGACUAAAUGUAGUUGCUUUUUAUUUCUUAUCUAUGGUUUAUUUUUCAUGUUGUAUUUUUGAAUUGGUGUAUUCAUUGAUGGAUUUAGCCAGAGUGCUAAUUUUUAGUGUAUGUCAUAACAUUCGUUUGGUACUGUUAAGCCCCCAUUUUGUAGUUUUUAUUCAUUGUAAGAAUGAUACUUUUAUAUUUAUACAAUGUUUUUCAGUUAUUUUUGUGAUUUCGUAUUUAACUAGCUGCCUUAAAGAUGAUGAUAUUGUCUCUAGCCAACGGAAUGCGUUGUUGGCUACUGUCCAUCUUGAAUAGAACAUGUCAUUUUAGUUUUUAUUAUACUGUGAUGAUUGUAUAUAUUAAUGAUACUAGUAACUACUUCGUAGUUACUGGUGUGUUUCAAUGAAAUGUGUCUUGUCUAAAAAGGUCAUUAUUAUGAGUUAAAAUUUUAUGAGAAGAAGGCAUAUCAAUUUAAUAUUUUGGAAAGCAAAAAAUGGGCUUUGUCAUCCAUUUUUAAUAAUAAAUAAUUCUAGAAAUAAUUUUUUUAAUUAACUAUUAUAAAUAUUUUAUAGUAUUAUAAAGUACAGUAUUAGACAGAAAAGUUACAGCAGUAAUGGUUUUUGAAAGGUUUAGUUUGAUUUGGACUAUUUGGUUCUUACACUUUUAUAUUUCUUAGGAUAAAGAGAAUUCCAUUUGAUGAAAUGCAUACUUUGAUUUUAUUUUAAAACAAUGUUAUAAAAAAUAUAUUCAAAUAAUCAACAUUUCAAAUGAUUUAUAAAAAGUAACAACUUUUCAAAUAAAAAAAAAUCGUCACAUAGAGGAUGUGCCACUAACUGUGACGCAUGACACGUAUUUUAUGUCAUGUCAAUGACAGCGUCGCAUGCAUGUUGGGAAUAAGAGCAUUCGUCAUCCCUCUUGUCUUUUAUGUUGUAUUGUUUUUUUUUUAAUAUAUAGAUCAUUUCCUCUACACCAUUUAUCACUCAUCUCUUCAUUCUAUUCUUAAUUUUUUUUUGAAAUGUCUUAUAUCAUCAAAAGAAAUGUUAAUUUGUUUUAUUUGAUAGUAAAGUCUCUGAUGAAAAUUCGAUUUUGGAACAUUCAUACUUUCGAACAUCUAGAGAGGAGCUUGAUUCGUUGGUUAAUUGGAGACAGUGAAAAAAGAUCAAAAGAAUUAAAAGGGUUGUUACGGUGUUCAACCAAUUCAUUUCUAGAAUAACAUCGAGUUAACUUAGAGACAAACAAUCUAAGUCAAUCCCAAAAUCUCUAUCAUAAAUUAUCAAAGGAUAAUUCACACACACCAACGAAGUAGACACUAAAUCAUUAGCUGAAGUAUCAAUGACCAUGCUACCAUUCAUAUUACACUUUCAAAUUCAAUCUUUUCACACACUCAUCAAAUAUAAAUGAAUGCGUCACACCCGUAUCAAUAAUAGUAAUCAAAUGAAUAUUAUUAAUAAAACACACACCCUGAAUCAAAUCAUCCGAUGCAACGGUCUCUGCCCUAGACAAAACAAAAACUUUCCCCCCAGACUGAGCUUUUUUAGGUUUCUCACACUGCGUACUAAUAUGACCAUGCUCUCCAUAAUUAUAACAAGUUAGAUUAUUACUCAUACAGUCAGCAACUGAGUGACCUGGCUUCCCACACUUGAAGCAAUUCACAAUUAUGCUUUUUCACACAUAAAUACGAUGUCCAAAUCCACCACAUUUGAAACAUCAGAAGCAGGAGUCCCUCAUCCAAUUCAUCCUUUCCCACCUCCAGCCUUUUAAUCAACCUUCUAUUUUCCCUUACCAACUAGAGUACUAUACAGUUUUCCACGAUUCUGAUCCUUCCCCUUCUUCUCACUGAGACUCUUAUAGUGAGCACAUUAGACUUUGUUAUCCUCAUCAUAUAUUUUGCACUUAUUCACCAGCAUAGAAAAUCAACGGAUCUCUUGAUACUCAAUAAUCUGCUUGAUCUCAGAAUGUAAUCCGUUUUCGAACUUGACAAACUUCGAUCCAUUAGUAGUCGUACUAUUAUAGUAUGGACAAAACUUCACCAACUCUUCAAACUUAGCAUCAUACUCAACAAUUGCCGAAUUCCCUUGUUUUAGCUCAAGUAACUCAAUCUAUUUCUUACUGCACACGUCCUCUAGAAAGUACUUCUCUAGAAAGUUAGUCAUGAACACAACCCAAGUAAUCUCAUCACCACCAACCUCUAGUCUCUGAUGCGCAUUGUCCCACCAAUCUUCGACCUCCUCUAACAACAUAUUAGUGUCGAACUGCAUCUUCUGAACUUCAGUGCAAGUCAUCACUCAAAAAAUCUUCUAAAUCUCUCUGAACCAUGUUUGUGCACCCUCUGAAUCAUAUCUUCCUUUGAAGGUCGGAAGGUUGUUUCGCUGAAACUUCCCCAAUCCACAGAAUUCAUCGCCAACCUAAUUCUGCUGACCCUGCAGCACCUGACCCAUCUCCUCCAAAGCAUCAAUAAUAGUGUACAACCCAAAAAUUAUUUGAUUGGCCGAGAUGCAAAAUAAUAAUUUAUAACUUAGUCGAGAUGUCAAUUUUUAGUCGAGAUGGUCAUGUAGGAACCUCAGACCGGUGCACAUAGAUCUAUUCCUAAUGUCGGGCGACCGUGUUCCCUAAGCAAUUAAGAGGCAGACUAAGAGUCAAAAACCGUUACAGAACGAUUAAUAAAUCAUUUACAUAUCACUAAUGGUCAUAAACAGUUACAAAUACUUAUUAAGUCGAUUAUAAAUAAUUAAGUAAACAGUUACGUUUAUAAUGGUCAUAAAACCUAGUUGUUGUAACUAUUCAGUAUGAGAGGGAGGCUGACAGUAUAUAUAAGUCUUGAGACCAAUAGAAAAAAAGGAUUUGCACGAUGAAUAAUAUAGAAAAGAGAUAAUCUAUCAAAAAUCUUGAACAACCAACAAUGGUGGACAUGAACCCCUUAACCAUUACAGACACACCGACGAAUCGUUUAAGGCUCUCCCUGACUACUAAUAACAGAGAAGUCAACCUUUUAAUAUUUUAGCAAGAAUACUUAGCGCCCACCGUGGGGCUCCUGUAAAACUCUCCCUAGCCACACAAUCAAACCAAAUCAAUCAUUUUUCAAAACAAAUAAAUUUCCAAUUUCACAAGAUUAUCAUUACACUACACACAUGGAACCUUCAAACACUAUUUCUCUUGGACUUUGUCCGUCAAACGUCAUGAUAGUGAAAUCAUUCGACUUUCCCAUGACUCUCCCGACGUAGAGCGUCUUCGCCAAAGAAUGCCAAACUCAGUGACAAUAAAGCUAUGCUUCAAUUAGGGGUGUACACAGGUAUGGUUGGACCGGGUUUAGCCUAACUCGUUCAAACUUCAAUGGGUUGGGUCCAUCGUCCAACCAACAAUUUCAUUUUCAAAACCGACUCGUUAUUAAUGGGUUGGGUUGGGUUCGCGGGUUGUGUUUUAAAUAAAAAAUAUAUUUUUUAUGAUUCUUUUUGUCGGUUUUAAAAAAGUGUAACACAACUCAAUACAAUCAUACUCGUUUAUAACACUCAAAUUCAAUGAAAUACAUCAUAAAAUAUCUAAUAAAAUUCAUCAACACAACAUAACACUUUAUAAUAGUAUAACGUUCAACAAGACACAUUAUUUGCAUAAAUUACAUAAGUUGGAAAUGUACAAAAGGAAAUAAGAAACAACAUUUAAUCUUAGAAUUACGUAAAUUCAUUGGUGUAGUAGUAUUAUUAGUGGAAAAUAUUUGUUUUUGAAAAAAUUAUGGUUAUUAGUGAGAUAUUAAUUUUAUAUUUUUAUUUAAAAAAAUAAAAAAAAUAAUAAAAAAUUACUAAAAUCACGGUAAUGGUUUGGAAAUUUUUAUGUAAAUAACCCACUUUUUCAAGGAAAUUCCCAAAAUACCCCUGGUUUCAAAAAAAUCCCAAACUACCCCACUUUUAGGAGGAGUCGCCAAUUGAAUUGGAGACUCCUCUUAAAAAUUGAAUGGAGGCGCCAAUUGGAUUGGCUAGGGUAGGUGCCCUAGCCAAUCCAAUUGGCGCCCCUGUGUAGGGUUUAAGAGGAGNUUGGAGACUCCUCUUAAAAAUUGAAUGGAGGCGCCAAUUGGAUUGGCUAGGGUAGGUGCCCUAGCCAAUCCAAUUGGCGCCCCUGUGUAGGGUUUAAGAGGAGUCGCCAAUUCAAUUGGAGACUCCUCCUAAAAUGCAUUUUUUUUGGUAAAUGGUAUACGUGAUAGAUAAUUUUGAUAUAGGACCACUUGAUAUUAAUAAAAAUUGUUGUUUACACAAAGAAACCUAAUGGUGAUGACCGAGAUCACCUAACCAACCUCCGGUCCCACAUCCUCAAGCUACCCUAACCCGUGGCCCUAACCCACGUUGACGAUUCAGUACCGGUGUUUGAGCAUCUGAGGGGCCAGAAGCGUCACUACCAACUACAGGAGAAUGUCCAUUGAGGUAUUCAGACAAGUCGGCAUAAUCUUCAGUAUGCAUCGAUGGUGUACCGCCGUAGCUGAGCUCAUGACCCAUGCUAGAGAAGUUGGGAUGUGGUUGACUCAUGGAUGGGCGACCGGGACGGUUGAAGGGAGACAUGGGUGUGAACAAUGCAUCGAGGAAAGGUUGGAAAGGUUGUUGGGGUGUUUGGUAGAGAUAUGGUUGUUGGAUGUUUUGGUUUUGUGAGGUUUGGGCUUCUUGGCUACGGUAGGAGGAAGGGCGGUUGGUGUUGAAUGAUCGUUGGGUGUUCUGGCUUAGGCGACUUUGAUGGGGUGAUGAGGUGGGUGCGAAGUGAUGUUGAGUCUCAGGUUGAUGGUCAAUUUGUUGGUGGUGGUAUGGGGUAUGCUCUUGGUAUUAAGGUUGGGUGUAUGGAAUAUUUUGGUUGUAUGUUUGUGUGUUGGUUGAACGGAACGUUUGACGGACAGGGGGCUGUGUGUAUCUGAUUUGACACUGUUGUUGGGGGUUUGAUGUUGAGGUGUCAGGUGUGUAAGUCAUCUGGCGUGGAUCGUACAAGUACAUAUCCUCGGCGAUGAACUGAAAACCAACCGAUCUGUACCAAGCCAUAUAAGUACGACUUGGUUUUUCUUCAGUUGGCAUGACUGCGUCAGUUAACACAUGGUCAUGACGGUGCUUAUCUGUACCAAGCCAUAUAAGUACGACUUGGUUUUUCUUCAGUUGGCAUGACUGCGUCAGUUAACACAUGGUCAUGACGGUGCUUCCAUUUGUGACACUCCGAUCUUGCGAAGCUUUGCCAUGGAUUAAAGUUCCAUUAGUCGUUAACUUUGCGCAUAUGCCAUUCUCCUAGGCUAGCUGGGGGAUCUGGGAUAUUUUGGGGCAUACCGAACUGCAACUUCACACGAUCACUGUUGUGCAUCUCCAUAGUUGUGAACCGUAUUAUCGGUGUACAUGCAGUCCAUACGGCCGCAUCUUCAGCGUUGACUUGAUGGUCAUGAUCCAAAUUAAGGUAUGGACGCCAAAUAAACUGAAAUGUAAAAGAAGAUUGGAUUAUAGUCAAGGUAGAAGAAGUUAACAAAAUAAUUAAGUUAUUUUCCUUACGUCUGUCGGUCGAAGGUGAUCCAACAGGUUGCGAUACUGAGUAAUACAAUGUCUUGGACAUUUGUUGUAACUCAUACCACGUGCAGACCAUCUACACCAAAAAGUCAAAAAAUAUUAGUUAAAGGUAAUAAUCUUUAAAGACGUAAGUAAAGAUAUAGCAAUUUAAACAACUUACUUUUGUGCAUACGGAAAUGUGAAAGGAUUGUUAUUGACAGGUGCUAGAGACGGUAGUCUUGACCAACCCCAUGCUUGUAGCAAAACAGCACAUCCAGAAAAUGUAGAUGUAUCUUUGUGUGAGUUUUUGCACAAGGAGCUAUAGAGAUAGGCUAGACAAGCAGAUCCCCAACUGUAACUUCCUAUUCUAUCUACAUGUCUAAGUAGAGGUAAAUACAUAAUAUGCAUGCUAGAACCACUACCUUCGGGAAAUAAAAACGAGCCAAUUAACAACAUAAUGUAACACCUAGUUUUUAUUAUUCGAGCAUCUUUGGUAGAAUGCUCAUCUAAGUAUAAACUAUUAUAGUACGACUUAAGGCGUGAAAGUAGUAUACCUUGACCUCUUGCGUUAUCAUCUAACAAAUCAGUCUCCAAGAGAUCCAUGCAAAUUGAAUUUGCAUAGUUGGUUUUACCAUUAACAGCCUUACCUUCAAUGGGUAGUCCCAAAAGCAUGUAGACGUCUUCUAACGUCACGGUACACUCACCGGUUGGGAACCAAAAUGUGUGUGUCUCUGGUCUCCAUCUUUCGCAUAAAGCUAGAAUGAAUUUGUUAUCUAUGGACCAAGACAAAAUCUUGCUUAUAUGACCAAAACCGGCGAGUUCAACAUAAGGUUGAAUCAUCGGGUCCAUAUGGACAUAUUCGUGGACCCGAGUUCGGAACCUUGAUACAUCCUAUAAAAGAAAGAACAAAAAACUUGACUAAGUUGGUAUGUUAAAAUAAAAGGGGGUUGGUGAAGAUGAAAGAUAAAAAGUUAAUAAAAGAAAAAACUUACAUAUGUUGCGAUGUUUGCAACCGUUCCUCUAUGUGAUUCGCCCAUUGUGAGGAUAAACAUUUUGUCGGUGGGUUGGUGUAGAUGAAACUACAAGAAGUUGUUGCAAAUGAAAUUGUAGAAGAAGUAUUGUAGAAGAAGUAGUGAGAGUGAUGGUGUGGAAGAAGUGUUGACGGAGAGGAUGUAUUUAUAGGCAAAUGGAUGGGAGCAUGGAAAGUUGUGCUUGCAUGGUGUCUCCACUUGAAUUGGCGACCAUGUACAACCUUUAAGAGGGCUCUCCAUUCAAAUUGGCACCUCCAUAGGGACAUGCAUGUAAGACCUAGGUCUGAUUGCUUGGUUUCGAGGUCUGAAUGCAUGCUUUGACAAGGUGUCUCCACUUGAAUUGGUGCCCAUGUGCAAGGAAUGAGUGGGGGAGCCAAUUCAUUUGGAGUGUGUGUCUGCAUGUCUGACACAUCGUUGUCCUCUCUCUUGCAUGCUGAACAUGUCACUUCUUAGUAGCUUGCAUGGUUGACACAUCAUUUCGGAGUAGCUUGCAUGUGCGACACGUCAUUUCGAAGUAGCUUGCAUGUGCGACAGGUCACUUCGAACUAGCUAGCAUGUGAGACACUUCACUUCUCUAUUUAAGUGUCUUACUAUCAACAUCCAAGACACUUCACUCAUAUUCAUCUGCAGUAAGAAAAUAGUUUUCAUCUGCACAAUAUCAUCUUUAUCAUUAUACAGUGUCAACGUUCACUGCAACGGUGAAACAUACGAGUCUGAGCUAUAUGGUUUUUGUUUUCGAAACACCGAUACCAUUAGACUCACGAUCAAGAGAAAUGCAACCUUCUUGCAUUUGAAAAAAAGAAUACAAUCCUGUAUAGGAUCGGGUUUUGUGUCAAAGAUCACAUAUCAAAAUCCAAUAUUUUUUGAGAAUAGUCAAUACAAGUAUUCCCCCCUUAAGGUACGAGACGAUGAAGAUGUUGAUGAAUACAUGUUUGUUAGUCAUGAACAUUCAGGCUGCAACUGUAUUGAGUUGUACAUUACUCUUCAACCAUGUAUACCAUCUCAACAGUCUCAACUAACCAGUCAGGAUGAAUCUGGUGAAGAUGAUCCACAAUGGUCAGAUGACGUCAACCCAGAAGCAGAAGCAGAAGUGAACGUCAUUGAUGAAGAAGAAGAGGAGACCGAGAUACAGGUUGACCACAUGCUGAACAACGACGAUGAAGAUGAUGAUCAACCACCACCAAUACCUCCUAGUCAUGUCUACAAUCCGCCUCGACAUAUGACAAAUAUGGAUCUUCACGACGAUGAAAUAUCCAAUAGUGUUUUCUAUAAUCUGUAUCCGAGAUCAGAAGGUGAAUUAAAGGUGGGAGACAUGUUUCGUACCAAAGAAGAAUGUGUUCUGGCUAUCAAAAAAUUCCACAGGAACAACUCUGCUGAUUUUACAGUGAAACGCACUGAUUCUAGAAGGUAUGUUAUCGAAUGUUGUAACAUGCUUUGUAAGUUUCGUUUGGCUGCGUCUUACAAGAAGAAAAACGACUCUUGGGAGAUCGCUUCAAUAGACCCACCUCACAGUUGCAUUGCAACUAACGUUGAACAAGAUCACCGUAAACUAAGUGCANNNNNNNNNNNNNNNNNNNNNNNNNNNNNNNNNNNNNNNNNNNNNNNNNNNNNNNNNNNNNNNNNNNNNNNNNNNNNNNNNNNNNNNNNNNNNNNNNNNNNNNNNNNNNNNNNNNNNNNNNNNNNNNNNNNNNNNNNNNNNNNNNNNNNNNNNNNNNNNNNNNNNNNNNNNNNNNNNNNNNNNNNNNNNNNNNNNNNNNNNNNNNNNNNNNNNNNNNNNNNNNNNNNNNNNNNNNNNNNNNNNNNNNNNNNNNNNNNNNNNNNNNNNNNNNNNNNNNNNNNNNNNNNNNNNNNNNNNNNNNNNNNNNNNNNNNNNNNNNNNNNNNNNNNNNNNNNNNNNNNNNNNNNNNNNNNNNNNNNNNNNNNNNNNNNNNNNNNNNNNNNNNNNNNNNNNNNNNNNNNNNNNNNNNNNNNNNNNNNNNNNNNNNNNAAGGUGAUAUUGUUUGGCACAAUGACGAGAUGCGUAGAAAGAAAAAAGGAAGGCCAAACAACACACGUAUCAGAACAGAGAUGGAUUCCACAGAUAAAAUGAUAAGAUUAUAUAGUAUAUGUCGUCAACCAGGACACAACAAGAACAACUGUCCCAAUCGAGGAGCAUCAUCUAGGUCUUAAGCUUUUUGUAACAUUGUAUUUCUGUAACCUUCAAUCAUUAUAUAUCAUUAAGUUUUUGUUACAACGAGGUUCACAACAAACAUCAGUACAAAAUAAGCUAUCUGAAAACAUAAAUAUUUCUAACUGAUUACAACAAUCAAAUUGAUGUCGUCUCGAUCGAACAUCAUUUCCCUAGCAUCCUUAUCAGUCUUCAUUCACACCCAACCAAAGAUACUAUCAAGUCUCUUAAUACUUCUAAUUUUUUCCCCUUCUCGUAUUUUCCCAUCUAACCAACGAACCAGCUCCCUCUUCAGUUGAUCGAACGUAGUGAUGUUCCAGAACAACAUCAACAUCUGAGGUUUGUCUCUCGCAUAAAUCACCUUUCCGUAUCGGUGAGGAACACCAAACAUGAUUGCCAAUUAAUUAUAUGAGACGUGGAACAAUUACUCACACAACGCAUCUAUUUAUAACACAAAAAUUGCAUUUUAGGAGGAGUCUCCAAUUGAAUUGGCGACUCCUCUUAAACCCUACACAGGGGCACUAAUUGGAUUGGCUAGGGCACCUGCCCUAGCCAAUCCAAUUGGCGUCUCCAUUCAAGUUUUAAGAGGAGUCUCCAAUUCAAUUGGCGACUCCUCCUAAAAGUGGGGUAGUUUGGGAUUUUUUUUUGAAAUCAGGGGUAUUUUGGGAGUUUCCUUGAAAAAGUGGGUUAUUUUCGUAAAAAUUUCAAUGGAUUGAGUCAAUGGGUCCGCGAAUUACUAAACUCAAAUCCAAUAGCCGAACCAAAAUUAUACGAGUUAUUAUGAGUUGAAUUGAAUAUACCCAUAAAUGAAUAGAUUCAGAUCAUUUAUAGAUUGAAUUAGUUUGAAUGAGUGGGUUCAUGCGUCUGACCCUCAUGUAGCUUCAAUCUAAAUGCACACCAUUCAAUUCACACAUUUAUUCGUAAUGUUAAAUCCGAAUCUAGAGGUUGUUUAUCUAUAACCGCUUGUUAUUUCAAUAUUUUGUCAGGUGGUUACAGGUUAAGGAUAAAACUGUUAAUUGAGCAUACUAUGGAUCUCAUGUGAUGAAGUAUGGUGGUUCGACCAAAGGAAUGUUGUUCUCAUCCAUUUAUGGGAAAAGUUACGCAAAUUACAUGAGGGUUCUCCGCGGAAAAACGAAGUUGAGAAACAAGUUUUGGAAGCAAUGUCUCAUAGGAAACAUAUAGACAACCAUGUGAAACUGAUUGGGAAGCUCUCAUUCGGCAUUGAAAAGGGUACUGAACCACUUAACGCUUUUAGACCUGUUGGAUCACCAUUUGUUGAUAACCGGGAUUGCCUCAAAACCAUGGAGCCAAUACAUUUGCAGUAUGCCCAGGUUAAAGCAUAGUGUGUGUGUAUAUAUAUAUAUAUAUAUAUAUAUAUAUAUAUAUAUAUAUAUAUAUAUAUAUAUAUAUAUAUAUAUNNNNNNNNNNNNNNNNNNNNNNNNNNNNNNNNNNNNNNNNNNNNNNNNNNNNNNNNNNNNNNNNNNNNNNNNNNNNNNNNNNNNNNNNNNNNNNNNNNNNNNNNNNNNNNNNNNNNNNNNNNNNNNNNNNNNNNNNNNNNNNNNNNNNNNNNNNNNNNNNNNNNNNNNNNNNNNNNNNNNNNNNNNNNNNNNNNNNNNNNNNNNNNNNNNNNNNNNNNNNNNNNNNNNNNNNNNNNNNNNNNNNNNNNNNNNNNNNNNNNNNNNNNNNNNNNNNNNNNNNNNNNNNNNNNNNNNNNNNNNNNNNNNNNNNNNNNNNNNNNNNNNNNNNNNNNNNNNNNNNNNNNNNNNNNNNNNNNNNNNNNNNNNNNNNNNNNNNNNNNNNNNNNNNNNNNNNNNNNUAUAUAUAUAUAUAUAUAUAUAUAUAUAUAUAUAUAUAUAUGUCUCCACUGAAUAUUAGUGAAGCACACAAGGUGUUCGAUGAAAUGCCCAAGGAAAAACCAAAUCAACUCUUCAAGGCUUAAGAAGAAACAAAACUCGGAUCACGAAAAUUAAGUCACGCUGACAUCAAAAUAGUGCCCGAACCAGUUGAUCGCAUUGUAAAUACCAUCAUUCAUAUAUAAGUCACCUAUACCCGACCUGGAUACCGUCAAUAGCUUCUCGGAAUCAUCAUUGGUGCAUCUCUGAGGAAGAAAAUAGGUGUUCUCUAUACUUUAACUUUCCUACAAGUUAUUGUAUCUCACUCGCAGUUGACAUGGGUGUUUGUGUUAGGUUCUCUAAAAAAUACUGAGAAUAAUAUAAAGAAUAGAAUGAGGAAUAAUAAGAAGAGGCUGCUUUAUUGAAUGAUUGGAAGAGAUUUACAGAGAUCAAGGAAUCUACUGCCACAGAGCUGAGCUCCUAUGGAGGGCUUAGUAGCUCUCCAUUCUCAUGAUUACACAAUGAUUCUAAAAAGUGUCCUCUUGUGAUUUAUUCCUAAUCCUUUAUGCAAACAGCCUAACAGAAUUGGUUAAGACCAAUUCUCUCUCUACUGCCACCUCAUAUCCAAUCACGUGAUAUUUGAUGCUCUUCUCCUUCUAGAAUAAACCAGCCAAGCCUGACCAAUUCUCUCUCUACUGCCACCUCAUAUCCAAUCACGUGAUAUUUGAUGCUCUUCUCCUUCUAGAAUAAACCAGCCAAGCCUUGGCUCCACUAGGCCCACUGUGAUUUGACACUUCCACCCCUGACCCAUCUUCAUUCAUAUGGUCCCUAAGAACACUCCCUCCUAGAACAACUACCUUGUCCUCAAGGUUGAAUUCUGGAAAUUGGCUCUUGAUGGUCAAGAUAUCCUCCCAAGUAGCUUCAUCCACUAUUCUGUUAGCCCAUUGAAUUAAAACUUGUUGUACCUUCUGUCCCUCUGGACCACUCAUACGCGUUGCUAGGACAUCUUCAGGUAUGAAUUGAUCAGCACAAUUCCCUUCCAUUCCCUGAGGUAGUUCACUCUCCACUUGGUACUCUCCAAUGGCCUUUUUUAACAGUGAUACAUGGAACACCGGAUGUACCCUUGAUCCUUCAGGUAAUUUCAACUUGUACGCCACCGCCCCUAUUCUUUCCAUAAUUUGAAACGGCCCAUAAUACCUUGCAGCCAGCUUAGCAUUCAUACGAGACACCACAGACUUCUCUCUAUGUGGACGAAGCUUUAAGAACACCCACUCCCCUACUCGAAAGCUACGAUAUGUUCUUUUCUCGUCAGCAUAAUGUUUCAUACGGUCUUGAGCUCUUUGUAAAUGAGCUUUGAGUUGUCUGAUAGCUUCAUCGCGUUCUUCUAACUCCUUCUGCACUGCCUCUACCCGUGUUUCUCCCUGCAACAAUCUGGUAAUCAUUGGAGUUUGUCUGAUAGCUUCAUCGCGUUCUUCUAACUCCUUCUGCACUGCCUCUACCCGUGUUUCUCCCUGCAACAAUCUGGUAAUCAUUGGAGGUUUUCGCCCAUACACCAGCUCAAAAGGUGUGCUCCCUACUGACGCAUGGAAUGUGGUGUUAAACCAGAAUUCCGCCCACGGUACCCAUAACACCCAAGACUUUGGCUGGUCAACAAUGAAACAUCUCAGAUAUGUUUCUAGACAUCAAUUCACAACUUCGGUUUGUCCGUCAGUUUCCAGAUGAUAUGCUGAACUCAUUUUCAGCGUCGUUCCUUGCAACCAAAACAAUUCAGUCCAAAAAUUACUGACAAACACAGGGUCACGAUCACUGACAAUUGCUGUAGGUAAGCCAUGAAGUCUUAUCACUUCGCGUGCAAAUGCUUCAGCCACUGUUCUGCAAUACACGGUUUUUUUAGAGGGAUGAAAUGACAGUACUUAGAGAGCCUGUCCACUACCACAAAUAUUGCUUCAAAUCCUCUUGACUUGGGCAAUCCUGUAAUAAAAUCCAUCGAAACUUCUUCCCACACUGCUGUAGGAAUCGGUAAUGGCUGCAGUAGGCCUCUGGGAGAAAUGGAUAAAUACUUCUGUCUUUGACACACAUCGCAUGCUUUUACAUAUUCUUGCACCUUUGCCUUCAUCCCUAUCUAAUACACAUUUGCAGCCAAUCGUCUAUAAGUGCGGUAAAAUCCGGAGUGACCUCCUACUGGAGUACUAUGAAACUCUGCUAACAUUUUAGGAAUCAAACUGGAUUGUGCUGACAGAACUAACCGAUCCUCAUACAAUAGCAUGAGUGACCUCCUACUGGAGUACUAUGAAACUCUGCUAACAUUUUAGGAAUCAAACUGGAUUGUGCUGACAGAACUAACCGAUCCUCAUACAAUAGCACCUCCUGUUUAUACUUGAAUCCAGGCCUUGUAUUUGGAUUCUCUUCCAAUUCCUCUAUGAUCUUGACUAACACCUUAUCAUUGUGGACUUCCUCUUGAAUCACAUUAUCUUCGUCCCAAACUGGAUAUGAAACCGCCGCCAUAAAUUCUCCAUUCUCAGGUAAACGCAAAAGUGCAUCUGCUCCUCUAUUUUCCACCCUGGCUUAUACACGAUAUCAAACCGGUAACCAAGUAAUUUGGUAGCCCAAUUCUGCUGGUCAGGCGUUGUAAUUUUCUGCUGCCAAAGUUGUUUCAAACUCUUUUGAUCCGUUGUAACUGUGAAAUGUCGCCCCAUUAAAUAUGGCCGCCAGUGUUGAAUCGCUAAUGCCACCACCAUUAAUUCUCUUUCAUAUACAGAUUUGGCCAGAUUCUUUCCUCCCAGGGCUUUACUAAAGAAUGCAAUGGGUCUCUUCUCUUGCAUCAAGAUGGCGCCUAACCCCACACCAGACGCGUCACACUCCACCACAAACUCUUUUUCAAAAUCUGGUAAUGCAAGAACUGGGGUUGUUGUUAGCUUCUGUUUCAAAGUUUCAAAAGCCUCUUGAGCUUGAUGACCCCAUUUGAAACCAUCUUUCUUUGUUAAAUCAGUUAGGGGCUUUGCAAUUUUUCCAUAGUCUCUAAUAAACUUCCGAUAAUAACCUGUGAGGCCUAAGAAUCCUCUCACUCCCUUAACACUCUUUUUUCCAUAGUCUCUAAUAAACUUCCGAUAAUAACCUGUGAGGCCUAAGAAUCCUCUCACUCCCUUAACACUCUUCGGUAUUGGCCAUUUAAUCACACUUUCCACCUUCAUGGGAUCUACAGCUACACAAGUCCCACUAAUUAAAUGACCUAAGUACUUAACUGUAUUCUGGCCAAAUUGACACUUUUUCCGAUUAGCAACUAACUUGUGCCUCCUCAAAAUCUGCAGCACUUCUGUUACAUCUCGAAUAUGUCUCUGCUACGUCUGACUAUAAAUGAGUAUGUCGUCAAAGAAAACCAAAACAAACUUCCGUAAUAACGGCCGAAAUACUUCAUUCAUUAAGGACUGAAAGGUAGAGGGCACAUUCAUCAGUCCGAACGACAUUACAAGGUAUUCGUAAUGCCCUUCAUGCGUACGGAAGGCAGUCUUCUGAACAUCUUCAGGUUUCACCUCACUUGGUGAUACCCGAAUUUCAAAUCAAGCUUAGUGAAAUAUUGGGCACCAUGCAAUUCGUCAAGCAGCUCAUCGAUCAUUGGAAUUGGGAAUUUAUCUGGUACUGCCACUUUAUUAAUGGCACGGUAGUCGACACACAUCCGCCACGACCCAUCCUUCUUCUUCACCAAUAUUAUUGGGCUAGAAAACGCACGGUUACUCUGCUGAAUAAUUCCUGCCUCCAACAUCUCUUUGACUUGCCUCUCUAUUUCAUUUUUUUGAUGAUGGGGGUACCUAUAAGGCCUCACACUCACUGGGCCUUGACCUGGCAGUAAGUUAAUGGAGUGGUCACGUGAGCGUCGUGGUGGCAGCCCCUUGGGCUCAUGAAACACAUCAUCAAAUUGCUUCAACCUCUCUUUCAUUUCUGGGUGAUUUGUCUCUUGUAAAACCUGGGUUUCUGUGUUGUUCAAAGUGGCAUCUAAGGACCACCACUUCCUUCCAUAUCCCUUACUAGCUUUACCUACUAUACUCUGUAGUGCUGUCCCUGUUUUGAAUAAGACAUGAUUACACUUUCCUCGCGUGGUGGUUUGAAACCCAUCACCCAACUUGAUUCUGAAAUCUGGAGUAGUUUCGACGCUCCAACCCAGUUUUUGCACUAACGGCUUCGCAGUGAAAUUGUGUGUCGCUCCACUGUCAAUCAGAACCACCACCGGAACACCAUUAAUGGUUGCUCGCAACUUGAGCGUUUGUAGACUUUCACGUCUCGGAACCUCCAUCUCAUAUAAGUUCAUCACACUCAUCUCCCCAUCUCGCUCUUCUUCAGAUUCGUCCACCUCCACUGCCAAUAAUUUGGCCUUCUCCUCUCCUCCAUCUUCAUCAUCCAAAAUCAUGACACGUAGUUGUUUGUCUGGACACUGAUGGAGGGGGUGAAAGAGACCCCCACAUUUAUAACAAAGACCUUUUUGUUUUCUAUUCAUGAGCUCUUGAUAGGAUAAGUGAGUAAAGCCUUUGUCACGUGCACCCUUUUCUUUUCUCUCUCCAGUCACUGGCUUGUCAUCACGUGGUGGGUUAUUGGGCCCUUUAGAUCCAUUUCCAUAAUUUAACCCACUGUUAUGGCCUCCUUUCAUAAAAACCCAAUUCGUUCCUCCAUUUCUCCCCGGGUUAGCCUUGUUUGAACCGCUUGGUUUCGGGUUUCGGAUCCAACCCGAUCCACCACUCGUUUCCCUUUCCACUGCUCUCGUGACGUGGAACAGCUUCGUUCUCGCUAUCGGCCCCAUAGCUACGAAACUCCGUACCCUACCUCUGAUCUCACCUCUUAAUCCGUGCAGAAAAUACCCUAAAAAUUGUUUGUCAGGUAACCUCGGAAUUCGAGAAGUCAGACGUUCAAACUCCUGAAUAUAUUCUUCCACCGUUCCUCUCUGAUGAAUUUCAGUGAGCUUUUCAUAAACAUCACCCUCUCCUAAACCUCCAUACCUUCCCAUCAACUCUGAUCGAAGCUCCUCCCAUGUCAGAUCUGGGUUUUCUUCCAACAAAGAGUUAAAGAAGUGAAUUAUUGGUCCUUCCAUGCUCAAUUGUGCCAGCCCCACCUUCACGGUAGCACUCGUGUCUUGAACACGAAAAUAGACCUCUGCUCUAGAGAUCCAUCCGGCCGGAUCGUCGUCGGAGAACGCUGGUAGCUCCACCUUCUUAACCGACCUUCUAAAUUCAUCCAAAGCUUCACCUUUCAACUUUGUGGUUGUCGUAACCUUUUUCGAUGAUGCAUCAUCUUCAGCUUCAACCACCUUCUUUAGAACGCUGGUAGCUCCACCUUCUUAACCGACCUUCUAAAUUCAUCCAAAGCUUCACCUUUCAACUUUGUGGUUGUCGUAACCUUUUUCGAUGAUGCAUCAUCUUCAGCUUCAACCACCUUCUUUUCCAGAACCUUCUCCAUCAUCUGUAUCAACGCUCUUUGAUUCUCCCUCACUGUUUGUUGAACCUCAGCGAUGGAAUCAGAGAAAGCAACCUUCAUCAGCGAUAACUCUUGCUCCAGAUCUGCAAUCUCCGCCUCAAUGUUUGCUACGGUUUUCUUCUUAGACAUCAACCAAGCUUUCCUUCACUGGUCCCCUCUACGGAUUCAGUAGGUCGGACCACUGUUAGGUUCUCUAAAAAAUACUGAGAAUAAUAUAAAGAAUAGAAUGAGGAAUAAUAAGAAGAGGCUGCUUUAUUGAAUGAUUGGAAGAGAUUUACAGAGAUCAAGGAAUCUACUGCCACAUAGCUGAGCUCCUAUGGAGUGCUUAGUAGCUCUCCAUUCUCAUGAUUACACAAUGAUUCUCAAAAGUGUCCUCUUGUGAUCUAUUCCUAAUCCUUUAUGCAAACAGCCUAACAGAAUUGGUUAAGACCAAUUCUCUCUCUACUGCCACCUCAUAUCCAAUCACGUGAUAUUUGAUGCUCUUCUCCUUCUAAAAUAAACCAACCAAACCUUGGCUUCACUAGGCCCACUGUGAUUUGACACUUCCACCCCUGGCCCAUCUUCAUUCAUAUGGUUCCUAACAGUUUGCAUGUGUAUAGUUUAUUUAUUUCUAAUGUAGAUGUUGGUGUGUGAUCUCAUAGGAUCAUAUCAUGACCUUUCAGGAUUGUUGAAUCGUCUUGAGAAGCUUUAUGUCAUGAGGGCAUCACUGUUUGGCAGGAGAUUAUUUAGCACGGUACAGAAUCGUGAUGCCGACACAGUGCCGGUGCCAACAAUUAAAGUUGAAAAGUCUAACUACAUUAAACGGAUCUCGCCAAUGUCGAAGCUUUAGCCAAUGUUGAAAUAAGAAUUAUAAUCUGAGCAGCAGAGUCCUUCUGUCGUUACGCCUCUCGAAGUCACAAAAGGCAGAUCCGUCGUGUCUCUAAUGAUCUCAAAACCAACGACAGCGACAUCGAAAGAUAAAUGACAUGCUCUGUCCCAAUUAAGUAUUCAUGUGCAAUACCUAUCUAACCUCACGACGUAUUUGGUUAAUGAUUGAUAUAAAAUGAUUGAAUCUGCUUGUAACAAUAUUGUGGGAUGCUUUUUAUUGUGAUUUCAGAGCAUGGAAUAGCUGCGAUUGUAUAAUUCAGCAGCAUAUUUAAUAGCAUGGAGUCGCAGGCUGUGAUGGACACCCUUCAAAUUAGCUAGCUGAUCCAACUAAUGUUGCUAGCUUGUCGUUGUAGAAGUCGGAACACGCAAUUCGAAAUACAUUUCUGAUCCAACAACGCUCGUGGCAUGAGCAGACUUGGAUACUAGUUGCGACAGCUUCGAUUCAGUCAGCAUAUGCAGCUGCAGAAGAUUCUUUACCUAUCACAGAUGUGGUUUGGUCUAAAGUUCAAAUUGAAAAGCAACUGUUGAAUGCCAAUGACGGUUUUUCGGGUGACUGAUAGGAUGUUUGUCUUCAUCUACCUGUCAGACUUACAACUAUUUUAAAAGGUGGAAUCGAGCUGCGUGUUUUGAUACAGAACAGAUAGCAUCGCGAUCACUGCUAACAAAAGUAUGGGACAUAAUUACUGUUAUUAAAAUAUGGUUAUGAGUUGCAUUAGUGUUUUUAUUGCGUAUUGUACAUGACUAUGCUAUCGCAUGGUAGUAAUGCAGGAGCUAAACCAUGUUGCACGGCUGAUAGUGCUAUACCAAAGCAUGCAGGGGCUGUACCGAGUCAUAUAACUGAUAUCCCGAACAUUGCAGCAAAAAAAAUUAAACUAAAGUCUAAAGGAUUAAAAGUGCGUGAAGCCAAGUUCGGAUUGACAGGAUGCUAAAAUCGCGUGUGGUUUGAUGUACCGCAUAAUUCAAUGAUUUUGGGUCGAGUUCGGCCGGGUCACGGAUCUGGUCAUUCUAUGCAACUUGUUGGAAGUUAUUAGAGAGAUGAGUACGUAAUAUACAAAUUCUGUGUUAUACAACUCAUAUUAUUCAUUGUAAAUAAUAAUUAGUAAUUAGUUGUCUUCUACCAUAUUUAGAAUUAACAUUUAUAGGUCAGAUUUAGGAUUAUUGAUCUGUCCCUUGUAUUCUCUAAAUGUCUUUCAUGUAUUACUUACUGAUAUAUCAAAGAAAUACAAAUUAUUUGUUUCUUUAUGAUAUCAGUUGCUAGGAGAAUUCCUUAGGUUUUUUUCUUUUGCUUCCUUUUUUUUCUUCCAUCCCAUAUAAUGUUUGAUACCGAAUCCCAGCAUACGCCCAAACAUUCUUCACCUAAACCUGAAAUACCUCAAUCUAUCAGGACAUACCAUGAAAACCACCCUGUUCAGAUCACAACAAUUCGACUGAACGGUCCUAGUUAUUUUCGGUGGUCACAGUCUGUCCGUUUGUAUCUCAGGGGGAGAGGAAAAAUUGACUACAUCAUUGGAGACAAGAAACAACCAGACAAGGAAGGUGCAAACUAUGAUUGAGAUGCUGAAAAUUCCAUGGUCAUGACAUAGUUAGUCAAUUCCAUGACUGAAGAGAUAGGUGCAAACUAUCUUUGUUAUGCUACUACAAAAGAUCUUUGGGAAAGUGUCUCUCAGAUGUAUUCUGAUUUGGACAACCAAUCCCAAAUUUAUGAAUUAACUCUCCACUUUGGAGAAAUUCGUCAAGCUGAAGAUUCUGUUAUCAAAUACUUCAAUUGUCUCAAGCGUAUUUAGCAAGAUCUGAACCUGUUCAAUGUAUAUGAGUGGAAGUCACCCGAGGACUGCAAGCACUACAAGAAGAUGAUGGAUGUUCGUCAUGUCUUCAAGUUUCUUGCAAGUCUAAAUAUUGAGUUUGAUGAGGUUCAUGGCCGGAUUCUUGGCAGGAAUCCUAUCCCUCAAAUUGGUGAAGUAUUUGCUGAAGUGCGUCGCGAAGAGAGUCGCAAGCAGGCGAUGCUUAGAAAAAAGGUUGACAUUGUCCCUCCACCAGUCAAAGGAUCUGCAUUGGUUGUUCCUUAAGUCAAUCGCAAACCUUUCCCUAAUCCACGAGGUGGUGACAAGAACCAUUUAGUUUGCGACUACUGUGGUCAAAAUCGUCACACUCGGCAAAAUUGUUUCAAACUACAUGGUAGGCCAAAUGAUAGAAAGGCUGAAAGGUUUGGUGAUCACCCUACGUCUACAACCAAUGAGGCUGUCUCGUCUCCAUUUACUAAGGAGCAAAUGGAUCACCUUUUUAAACUUCUAAAGUUCAAUAUAUCACCUAAUGUUCCUGUUGGAACUGUGGCACAAACAGGUAAGAAUUCUUGGACAUUAUCUGUCCAAAACCUCCAACCCUUGGAUAGUAGAUUAAGGGGCAUCUGAACAUAUGACCAAUUGCUCUCAUUUAUUCAGUUCCUAUUUCCCUUGUUCCGGGUCUGGAAAAGUAAGGAUUUCUGAUGGUAGUUAUUCUAGUAUUGCAGGCAAAUGCACCAUUAAAUUUUUAGAGCAAAUUACUUAGCAAUCUGUUUUACACGUUCCUAAAUUGGCUUGCAAUCUUUUAUCUGUUCAUAAACUGUUUAAGAACACUAAUUGUUCUGUCAUUUUUCGUUCUUCCACUUGUGUUUUUCAGGACCAGAACUCGGGGAAGAUAAUUGGAACUGCUAGAGAGAUGAAUGUAUUAUACUACUUUGAUGAAACUCCCCUUGAAAAUGCAAUGGUUUUUGGUUUAAACAGUGCAAGUUUACCUACCGUUUCAGAUCAAGUUAUGUUAUGGCAUAAAAGAUUAGGUCAUCCUAGUUUCCCUUAUCUUAAGUAUUUAUUUCCAAAUUUUGCCAAAGAAAUAAAUUCCUCACAAUUUCAUUGUGAAGCUUGUCACUUAGCUAAACAUCAUCGUGUGUCUUUUAUUUCAAAAGAUUAUUCUGCUUCGCAACCUUUUUAUUUAAUCCAUAGUGAUGUUUGGGGUCCUUCAAAAAUUAAAACUAUGUUUGGAAAAAAUGGUUUGUGACAUUUAUUGAUGACUAGACACAUGUGUGUUGGGUUUACCUCUUAGAAAAAAAAUCUGAAGUGGAACAAAAGUUUAAAGAUUUUUUUCAAAUGAUUGAAAACCAAUUUCAAACUAAGAUUGGCAUUCUAAGGUCUGACAAUGACACUGAAUAUUUCAACAAAUAUUUAAGUACAUUUCUAGUAACUAAGAGGGUAAUUCAUCAAUCCACUUGUUGUGAUACUCCACAACAAAACGGUAUUGCUAAAAUAAAAAAUAGACAUCUCCUCUAAGUUACUAAAGCUAUUAUGUUUUCUAUGAAUGUACCUAAAUAUCUAUGGGGAAAUGCCUUAUUAACUGCUUGUUACCUCAUCAAUAGAAUGCCAUCUCGUGUUUUAAAAUAUGAGACUCCUAUGUAAGUUUUACAAAAUUAUUUUCCCACAUCUCGCAUCAUUGCGGAUCUUCCCCUUAAAAUUUUUGGUUGUCUUUGUUAUGUCUACAUCCCAAAUAUUUUUCAUCCCAAAUUGAAUCCUAAAGCUGAAAAAUGUGUUUUUCUUGGCUACGCUUCAAAUAAAAAGGGUUACAAAUGUUUUUACCCAAUAACAAAGAAUUUUUUUGAAAGUAUGGAUGUCAACUUUGUUGAAAAUCAACCUUUUUUUAAUAAAAAUUCUCUUCAAGGGGAGAAUCGUUGUCGGAUAAUAUAAUUUCUGAAACAAGGGGAGAAAAACUGAUUGAGGAUCAUAAUCCUCAAUUUCAAGUGUAUGUUCGAAAAAGGUUUCACAAAGGUAUUACAAAUCCAAUUGUCUCUCCUGCAAAAAUCCAAUCGGAUUUACCAAGUGAAGGUCCUACAGAAAUUUCACCUUCUAGUUCUUCAUCUGGUAAUCCAUCUUACUCUUCCAAUGAUUUACUGGAUUUGUCUUUUCCUGAUAUUAAUCUUCCAAUUGCUUUGAGAGAAAAAAUUCUUGAUCUUAAUAUCCCAAUUACUGAUAGGAAACGUACUCGAACAUGUACUAAACACCCCAUGUCUAAUUACUUGUCAUAUGACAAGUUAUCACACACUCACAAGGCAUGUGUCUAGGAUUUCGAAUUUGUUUGUGCCCAGUACUAUUCAAGAAGCGUUAGGUGAUCCGAAUUAAAAAUUAGCAGUGAAAAAAGAGAUGAAUGCUCUAAGGAAAAAUAAUACUUGGAGUAUCAAUGAUCUACCUCAUAACAAAAGGGCAGUUGGAUGUAAAUGGGUGUUUACAAUGAAAUGCAAGGCCGGUGGAAAUGUAGAAAGGUACAAAGCAAGGCUAGUAGUUAAAGGUUUUACUCAAACUCAUGGUAUAGACUACCAAGAGAAUUUUUCUCCCGUUGCUAAGAUUAAUUCCAUCAUAAUUCUUCUCUCUCUUGCAGUAAAUUUCAAUUGGACACUACAUCAAUUUGAUGUUAAAAAUGCUUUUUUGAAUGGAGAAUUACAUGAAGAAGUAUAUAUGAGUUUCCCUCCGGGAUUUGAAGAAAAUCUUGGAAGAGACAAAGUCUGCAAAUUGAAAAGUCCUUAUAUGGAUUAAAACAAUCACCAAGGGCAUGGUUUGAGAGAUUUGGUUUUAUAUAUCAUCAAAUUGUCUCUUUGGAAGACUCUUUGUGAGAACAUCUGCUACUUGACUUGUGAUAGGUACAUAGGACAUACAAAUUUCACCAAGGGGGAGUGUUGAAAGUUAUUAGAGAGAUAAGUACAUAAUCAACCGAUUUUGUGUUAUAGAGCUCAUAUUAUUCAUUAUAAAUAAUAAUUAGUAAUUAAUUGUCUUCUACCAUAUUUAGAAUGAACAUUUAUAGGAAGAACAAUUACUCUGAUUCUCAGGUCAGAUUUAGGAUUAUUGAUCUGUCCCUUUGUAUUCUAUAAAUCCCUUUCAUGUAUUACUUUAUGAUAUAUCAAAGACAUACAAAUUAUUUGUUUCUUUACAACUAUUACAAGAGAUUCGUCGUACAACCUUAUUUCAAAUUGAAGGUUUCAUUUUGGUUGAUGUAAACUUCUUAAAAACCUAUGCUUGGUAGAGGGAAGUUGUGGUGUAUUGGUGCGACGACACUUGAUGAGUAUCGGAAGUAUGAUCUAAACCGUGCUGCUGAAUUGAAGGAGUCAUAUGACUAUAUGAAUUACGAGAAAAUCUAUGCUGAGAGAGGAAGUUACAUGAAAUGAUAUUUCUGAAACCGUAAGCAAGUGAACCGAUAUUCAUGUUUCAAAACUUCAACAAUCAGAAGCACUUAUAAGAACUGAUAUGAGUGAGUACAUAGAAAGGCAUGCAGCUUCAAGAUUGAUCGACAAUGCAUUUGAAUGAAAAAAUGAUAGUUCAUGGAGUUCUAUCAUAGGAUCUUACAAACAAAACGGCAUGGAAGUAGAAGCUUUAGACCUAUGCAAAGAGAUGUUGUUCCAAAGAAUGACAACACUGUUGUUGGCACUGUCAAAACCAAAGGAACUGUUCAACUUGUUGAUUGAUACACAAUUGGUUUCAGGUAUAGUAUCAGUUAUCGGCUUCCUACAGUGGUGCAUGACGACGACCUUGCUAAAGCGCAAAGAACUGUCUGUAUGAUCAGUAACAGCAUUGCUACUGCAGAAGUUCCCUCUCACAUUGACGAAUAAGUUGAUCUUAUGUAUGUAUUCGAUUUUAUAGCAUUGGAUAACAUAUUUAUUGCAGCUGCAGCAAGCGAGGGCAAAACAUCAAAUCAAUAACCUGGUUCAAUUCAAAUUGUUGAAUAAACUUUAAUGUCAUAGUUAAUAGGUUUUAUUAAUAAGUUAAUGGAGAGAUUUGGAAGGUCAAUAGACAGUGGCAAAAUUAAUAGUAUUUACUAAUUAUCAUAAUUCCUAGAAUAGCUAAGGUUUCUGAGUAUGUAUAAAGACCAAAAUUGUACUCUAAUAAAACACAAAAGUUUAUAAACGAAUCGUUUCUUCUGACAAAUUGGAAUCAGAGCUAAUGGCAAACAUGAUGAAUCAAAUGCCGUUGCCACGGCUAACGAAGUUAAAUUACGAAAACUGGAGUAUCCAAAUGAAAGCUCUUCUCGGAUCUCUAGACGCGUGGGAGGUGACCGAAGAUGGGUUUGAAGAACCAACAGAUGUUGAGGGAUAUACGGCAGCUCAAAACAAGGCGUUGAAAGAGACGCGAUCGAAGGAUAAAACGGCAUUAUACAUGCUGUUUAGGGUUGUUGAUGAAUCAGGCUUCGAAAAGAUUGCCGGUUCGACUACGUCGAAAGAAGCGUGGGACACGCUAGAGAAAGUGUUCAAAGGAGCAGAUCGAGUAAAGCAAGUUCGACUCCAAACACUUCGUGGCGAAUUGGAGAGGAUGCAAAUGAAGGAGUCAGAAAAUGUAUCUGACUACAUCACGCGUGUACAAAAGGUGGUGAACCAACUCACCAGAAAUGGCGAAACAGUAACUGAUGCACGAGUUGUCGAAAAGAUUUUGAGAUCUUUAACAGAUAAAUUUGAGAAUAUUGUGUGUGCAAUAGAAGAUUCGAAGGACCUUUCGAUGCUCGCAGUCGAAGAGCUCGCUGGUUCCCUCGAAGCACACGAACAACGAAAGAUGAAAAAGAAGGAAGAAGGAGCAGAGGACGCAAAUCAAACCAAGGAGCAAAUCAAAGACGAAAAGGUACUUUUUCUCAAAAUUUUCGAGGAAGAGGACGUGGUCGUGGAGGACGUGACAAUGGUCGAAGUGGUAGAGGCAGCAACUUCGAGAGAGGACAGUCGAACCAGCAAAAUUGGCAUGGCAGAGGACGUGGUCAAAGAGGUGGUAGGUCGAACCAUUCCAACUUUGAAUGCUACAAGUGUGGCAAGUAUGGUCAUUGUGCGAAGGAUUGUAACUCAUUCAAAUGCUAUAACUGUGAUAAAGUGGGACAUCUUGCAAAAGAUUGUCGAAUCGAAAAGAAGGUAGAAGAAAUAACCAAUCUAACUUUGGAAGCUGAAGCAAAUGAAGGUUUUCUCUUGAUGGCUCAAAGUGAGAUCAACUCAAAUGACAAUGUUUGGUAUCUUGACUCAGGAGCAAGUAACCAUAUGUGUGGUCACAAACACUUGUUUAAAGAAAUGAGAAAGAUUGAAGAUGGAAAUGUGUCUUUCGGAGAUGCAUCGAAAGUGAAGGUCGAAGGCAAAGGAACGAUUCGUUACCUGCAGAAGGAUGGGUUGAUUGGAUCAAUUCAAGAUGUUUAUUAUGUACCAAAUCUUAAAACCAACAUCUUUAGUUUGGGACAACUUACAGAAAAAGGUUAUUCGAUACUUAUGAAAGAACGGAUACUGCAUUUGAAGGACAAGCUGGGACAUCUGAUUGCUCGUGUCGAAAUGGAGAAAAAUAGAAUGUACAAACUGAAUCUGAUAAACGUUCGAGAAAGAUGUUUACAAGUAAGCGUCGAAGACAAAGCGUCACUAUGGCAUCUACGCUUUGGUCAUCUACAUCAUGCUGGUUUAAAAAGGUUGGCGAAAAAGAACAUGGUGCACGGACUACCAGAUAUGGAUUAUGAAGGAAAGUUCUGUGAAGAAUGUGUGCUUAGCAAAUAAACAAGAACUUCAUUUCAAAAGAAGGCAGAAUAUCAAGCUAAGCAUAUCCUUGAUUUGAUUCACACCGACAUAUGUAGGCCAAUCACGCCAGAAUCUUUCAGUAGCAAAAGGCACUUUAUUUCCUUUAUCGACGAUUACUCACGAAAGACAUGGGUUUAUUUCUUGAAAGAAAAGUCUGAAGCAUUCAAGGUGUUCAAAAGGUUCAAGGUAAUGGUGGAGAAGGAAACCGACAAACACAUUAAAGCAGUUCGAUCUGAUAGAGGUGGUGAGUAUACUUCGACAGCUUUUAUGAAGUAUUGUGAAGAGUAGGGUAUAAGGAGAUUUCUAACUGCAGCAUACUCACCUCAACAAAAUGGGGUGGCUGAAAGGAAGAAUCGAACAAUCCUUGACAUGGUUCGUUCAAUGCUUAAAAGCAAGAACAUGCCAAAGGAAUUUUGGGCAGAAGCUGUAAAAUGUGCCAUUUAUGUUCAGAAUCGAUGUCCACAUUCAAAAUUAGAAGAUCAAACACCACAAGAAGCGUGGAGCGGACAGAAGCCAACAGUUUCUCAUCUCAAAGUAUUUGGAAGUGUGGCUUAUGCACACGUACCAGAUCAACGAAGAACGAAACUUGAAGACAAAAGUCAGAAAUACAUACUCAUAGGGUAUGAUGAGAAAACAAAAGGGUACAAGCUAUUUGAUCCCAUAAGAAAGAAGGUGAUAGUGAGUAGAGACGUUCAAAUAAACGAAGCAAGUAAGUGGGACUGGAACAGUUCGACAGAAGCUGUUGUCGAAGUUGAAGAAUCAUCUGUUGCUGUACCAUCAAAUAUUUCGACAAAACUUGAAGAUUCUGACAAUGAAGAUGAACCUACACAACCCAGAAUGCGAAGUUUACAAGAUCUGUAUGAUUCGACAAGUGAAGUGCACCUUGUAUGUCUCUUAGCAGAUGCUGAAAACAUCAGUUUUGAAGAAGCAGUACGAGACAAGAAGUGGAAAAGUGCCAUGGACGAAGAGAUGGGGGCGAUUAACCACAAUAACACUUGGGAGCUAGUUGAAUUGCCAAAAGGUAGUCAACCCAUUGGUGUAAAGUGGGUAUUCAGAAAAAGAUGAACGCUCAAGAGAAAUAAAACGAUACAAAGCGGACUUGUUGCGAAGGGAUACAAACAGAAAGCAUGAGUUGAUUAUGACGAAGUAUUGCACCUGUUGCAAGAAUGGAGACAAUUCGAGUUACUCAUAUCUCAAGCUGCUCAUUCAAAUGGCCAUAUUUCAAAUGGAUGUCAAAAACAGCUUUUCUGAAUGGUGUACUAGAAGAAGAAGUCUAUGUCGAACAACCACUCGGGUCAGAAAGCUGGAGAAGAGAAGAAGUACUGAAAUUGAAGAAAGUGCUAUAUGGCUGAAGCAAGCACCGCGGGCAUGGAACACACGUAUCGACACAUAUUCAAGGAGAACGGGUUCGAGCAAUGUCCGUACGAACAUGCCCUCUAUGUGAAGAAAAAUGGAAGGAAUGUAUAUCUUGUUGCUCUCUAUGUUGAUUAUCUUAUUUUUUCUGGCAGUAAAUGCAGAAUGAUAGAAAGAAUUCAAAAGCACAAGACACGUGAAUUCGAGAUGACAGAUUUAGGCCUGAUGAGAUUCUUUCUUGGUCUGGAAGUUCGACAAGAAGAAACAGGAAUCUUCAUCUCACAAGAAAAAUAUGCAAAAGAAUCUUGAAAAGAUAUAAGAUGGAAAGUUGUAAUCCGACUUCGACGCAAUGGAACCAGGAACAAAUUGUCGAAAUUUGAUGGAGGAGAACGUGUCGAAGCAGAAAUAUCGAAGUUUGGUAGGAAGUCUUCGCUACCUCACAUGUACAAGACCAGAUAUCUCAUUAAGUGUAGCAUUGUAAGUCGAUUCAUGGAGGAGCCAAUUUACACACAUUGGAAAGCAUUGAAGCGAAUUCCGAGGUACAUCUAAGGAACAGUGUCACUUGGAUGUUUACUCGAAUUCAGACAAAUACAAGUUGGUUGGUUACUCUGACAGUGAUUGGUGCGGAGACAUAGACGAUCGAAAAAGCACUUCUGGAUAUGUGUUUCUCAUGGAAAUACUGCAUUCACUUGGCUUUCUAAAAAGCAACCAAUAGUAACACUUUCGACAUGUGAAGCGCAGAAUAUGUAGCAGCAUCCGGUGCGUUUGUCAUGCAAUAUGGCUCAGAAGAUUGAUGAGUAAAUGGAGCUAGAACAGAAAAUGCAACAAUAAUACAAGUUGACAACAGGUCAGGCAAUUGAGUUAGCAAAGAAUCCAGUAAACCAUGAAAGAGCAAACACAUUGACGUUCGCUUCCACUUCAUUCGAGAACACGUGAAGGAAGAAAUGUCGAAUUGAAGCAUGUAGCAAUAAGGACCAAGCAGCAAACAUUUUCACAAAACCACUAUCAAAGAAAUCUUCACAGAGCAAGAGAAAUUGAUAGGCAUGAUGAAUAGAAGAAACAUUUAAGUUUACAGAGGAAUUUUGUUGAAUAAACUUUAAUAUCAUAGUUAAUAGGUUUUAUUAAUAAGUUAAUGGAGAGAUUUGGAAGGUCAAUAAACAGUGGCCAAAUUAAUAGUAUUUACUAAUUAUCAUAAUUCCUAGAAUAGCUAAGGUUUCUGAGUAUGUAUAAAGACCAAAAUUGUACUCUAAUAAAACACAGAAGUUUAUAAACGAAUCGUUUCUUCUGACAGAAAUCAGGUUCUAACAGAACAAGUUGUAUUGCCUUUGGGUGCACCUCUCUUUCGGAGAGGAAUAUUAGAAAAGUGAAGUGCACAAAAUAUGACUAACACAUUCCAAUCCCUUGAUUAUGCUAUUACUGCUGUUUGAAACUUUUAUCAUGUUAAGAAAUGAAUAAUACGCAAGGUUCCAAAUAGAAUACCAGAUGUUACUUAUAUUUGUGUAAUGUUGAGUAGAAUACUAUAAGUCACUAACGGUAAUAGCUGAGUUUGAAGAGCAGUGUGCUAUCAAGGUAAAGAAACUACCAAUAAUUGCAUGCAAGUGGGUCUCAAUUAACCCUAUGUAGUAUUGUAAAUUUUAUAGCAUAUAGACCUUGAACUAUUAGAGUUUCUCCAAUAGUUAGGCCUUAUUAACUAUGAGCUGACACAAGCACCCACUAGUUAUGGAAGAUAUCUCAAGAUUGAUUUGCAUGCCUGCUUGAAAGGUUAUCAAUCAUUAUUACUCACUGAUAUCUCAAUAUUUCAGGUUGAAAUAUAUAAAACUCAAACACACAUUACAAAAGAGAGAAAAAUAGGAAGUGUAACUUUUCAAGGAUUUGAUAUCUCAGGUUGAAAUAUAUAAAACUCAAACACACAUUACAAAAGAGAGAACAAGAGGAAGUGUAACUUUUCAUUCUAUUUUGUUUCUAAAAUUGAUAAUACAUAAAGCAUUGCUUUCAUGCCUUUAUAUAGGCCUUGAAGUACAUAUUCUUAGUGGCUAAGAAACUUUGUGAAUUAAUGGAUAAGAAACUUAGCAAGGUAGCAUAAUUAGGCGGUGAUAUUAUCCACUAGUUUCCUUUCUUAACUUAUAAGUCACAAGCUUAAUUUAACUUUAGACACAUUGCCUUCUACAUUCUUCUAUAAUUAAUAUUUAUAUUAAUUGCCCUAUUUUCUCAAUACUUCUACACACUACUUGAUUUAAUUUCAAUAUUGCCUCCCUUAAAUCAAGUUCUCAAAUUUAUCAUUCCAAGCAUCUUCUUCAACUUGUAAAAUGACUCAAUCUUCAAUGGUUUUGUAAAAAUAUCUGCAAUUUGUUCUUCAGCGGGACAAUACUCGAUCACCACUUCCUUCUCAGCUAUCAACUCUCUUAUCUUGUGAAACUGAAUAUCAAUAUGCUUGGAACGUCCAUGAAACACCAGAUUCUUACUCAGCGUAAUAGCUGACUUGUUGUCACAAUAUAUCUUUGUAGGAUUAUUCUGCUUCUGAUGUAUCACUUCUAAUAUUCUUCUAAUCCAUAUUGUUUGAGUAGCACAACCGGCUGCUGCAAUAUAUUCUGCUUCAGCGGUAGAAAGUGUAACAACCGGUUGUUUCUUUGAAGACCAUGGAAUUGCACCUGUGCCCAAAUGAAAUGCGUAUCGUGACGUGCUUUUUCUUGUUUCAAUAUCUCCAACCCAAUCACUAUCUGUGUAUCCAACAAGUUCCACUUCAUUAUUACUAGCAUAAAAAAUUCCAUCAGUCAGUGUACCUUUGAUAUAUCUAAGAAUCCUCUUCGCUCCUUGUAAGUGACUAACGCGUGGCUCUUCCAUGAAUUUGCUAAGAAAACCAACUCCAUAUACUAUAUCUGGUAUUGUCGCAGUCAGGUAUCUCAGGCUUCCGAUCAAACUUUUAUAAUAAGUUGAGUCUGCCAUUUCCCAUCAUUUUCUCUUGUCAACUUUAACUUUUCUUCAACGGGUGUGUAAACUGGUUUUGACUGCUCCAUCUUGAACUUUUUCAGAAUAUCACUUGCAUACUUCUUUUGGGAAAUGAAAAUUCCAUCAUUCUGUUGGAUGACUUCAAUGCCAAGGACAUAAGACAUUAAUCCUAUAUCAGUCAUUUCAAACUGUCUAAUCAUAGCCUCCAUGAAUUUUGUAAUCAUCUCUGAAUUAUUUCCAAUGAAAAUCAAAUCAUCAACAUAUAGGCACACAAUAAGAACAUCUCCAGUAUCAAUGUAUUUGAUAUAUAAUGUGUGCUCAUGAGGACAUUUCUGAAAACCAUUCUGCACAAAAUAAGAAUCAAUCUUAUUAUACCAAGCUCUUGGCGCCUGCUUCAAACCAUAUAAAACUUUAUCUUCCUUUCCUUUGAUUACAUAUCCUGCAGGCUGCUCAACAUACACUUCUUCUUCCAGGUUACCAUUAAGAAAUGCAGACUUAACAUCCAUUUGAUGUAUUUUCCAAUUAUUCUGAGCUGAUAUUGAAAUAAGCAUUCUAAUUGUAUCUAAUCUUGCAACAGGAGCAAAUACCUCAAAGUAAUCAGUACCUGGUUUUUGUUUGUAUCCUUUUGCCACCAACCUUGAUUUAUAGCGAUCAAUCUCACCACUAGGUUUGUACUUUGUCUUGUACACCCACUUCAAUCCUAUAGAUUUCUUGUCUACUGGUAACUCGGUCAGCUCCCAUGUUUGAUUCUUCUCAAUUGCAUUGAUUUCUUCAUUCAUGGCUUUUAUCCAAUUUUCAUCAUCUGGUGCUUCUUCAAAAGUAAAUGGCUCACAAUAUGCAAAUAAAGCAAAGUUGAUAAUCUCCUCAUCAAAUGGGUCAUUACCAUUACCCAAAAUACAAUCUUGCAGUCUGGCUGGUAAUCUACGCGUCCUUUGUUAUCUGCUGGAUGUUUCUGGCUUAUCAGGUGUUGGAUUAUGCUCAAUCUCCUCUUCAUGUGUUGGAUUAUGUUCAAUAUCCUCAUCGUAGUCAUUUGAAGUCACUAUUGGAUCCUUUUGUGACUUUGAGGACCAAUCCCACAUUCCUCCUUCAUCAAAAGUCACAUCUCGACUGAUAAUCACCUUCUUUGUCUCUGGAUUGUAAAGCUUAUAGGCUUUUGAGUUUGAACUAUAACCAACAAAGAUACAUCUUUCUCCUUUGUCAUCUAACUUCUUUCUCAGUUGAUCUGGUACAUGAGCAUAUGCAAUACAUCCAAAAACUCUAAGGUGUCGGAUUGAAGGUCUUCUUCCACUCCAAGCUCCUUCAGGAGUCUUUUCUUGGACACUCUUUGUAGGACACCUGUUUAAAAUAUAAACCGCGGUAGCAACAGCUUCUGCCCAAAACUCCUUAGGCAUAUGCUUGGCCUUCAACAUGUAUCUCACUAUAUCCAUGAUUGUUAUAUUCUUUCUUUCAGCGACUCCAUUCUAUUGAGGUGUGUAUCUAGUUGUUAACUGAUGCUCAAUCCCAUGUUGCUCAAAGAAACUUGUACCAACGAGGUAUUCUUGGCCUCUGUCUGUUCUCAAUGCUUUGAUUCUACAACCACUUUGUUUUUCUACAAAUGUCUUGAAUGUCUUAAAGGCAUCACAUGCUUCUGAUUUUUGUUUCAAGAAAUACACCCAAGUCUUUCUAUUGAAAUCAUCUAUAAAAGUCAUAAAGUACUUACAACCACCUGGUGUUGGUAUCUCCACUGAGCACAAGUCUGAGUGAAUUAUCUCUAGCAACUUCUUCGCUCGCCAAGACACUCCAGUUGGAAAUGAAUUUCUAUACUUCUUUCCAAUCUGACAAGUCUCACAUACUCCAUUUGGAAUAUUCACAACAGGUAAUCCAGAAACAUAUUCUUUUCUUGACAGGUAAUUCAAACCAGAAAAAUGAAAGUGACCAAAUCUCAUGUGCCACAACCAAUCAUCAUUUGGAAUUAUAGAACUCAAGCAAGGAAAUUUUUCAUGUUGAAUUUUCAAAGGAAAUAGGCGGUUCGGUGUCAUUCUUACCUUUGUAAUAAAUCUGCCACUUUUGUCGAUCAACGUGCAGAAACCAUUGUGAAUCUGCAUGUUGUAACCUUUCUCUGGCAGUUGUCCCAUACUCAAUAGAUUGUGAUGAAGACCAGGAGCAUAAAAAACAUCACCAAUAAAGUUUUAUGAUCCAUCUUUCAACCUGAUAGCAAUUCGACCUUUUCCCAAAAUCGGAAUAUUUGAAUUGUUUCCAAACUUCACGGUAGAUUUUACCGUUUCGUUUAGAGAAGAAAACAAUUCCUUUUUUCCACACAUAUGAUUAUUACACCCAGUAUCUAGAUACCAUAUAUCCUCUUCUUCGAAAAAUGUAUUACUGGCCAAAAAUAAAUUUUAUAGAUUUUCAAAGUACUCACCUGUAUUUUGAUACGAACUCUCUGCCACAUUUGCCUGAUGUUUGUAUCUGCAAUUAACUGCUUUGUGUCCAAACUUUCCACAAUGAUAACAACUGUAAUUUGUCCUUUCUUGGUUAUAGUUUCCUCUUCCUCUACCACGGUAUGAAGAUCCAAAACUAUGACCACCUCUUCGUGGAUGUCCUGGAUUGAAACCAUUGAAGUUGUUGUCUCUCCAUUGGUUAAAAUUGCCACGUCCUCUUCCUCCAUAAUUUCCUCUGCCUCUGCCUUUAUAAUUUCCUCUUCCUCUAUUGUUGAAAUAAUUUUGACCACUUUCUUCUACAGUACGACUUGACUCAGAAGUGUUGUUGAAAUUUACCUGACUUUUGAGAGCUUCUUCUUUUACCACUUUCUCGGUCUUUUCUAAUAUUCUGUUGACAUGACUUUCAAUACUUCCCUGUAACUCUGCUACAGACAAAGUGUCUGUAUCGUGGGACUCAAUUAUCAUAGUCACCACAUGGUCAAACUUCAUCGGCAUCGUACACAGAAUUUUUUCUACCACUUUACUAUUUGGAAUAUCUUCUCCAUACACUCUCAUCUUGUUGACAAGAUUGAUAACACGAGAAAAAUAUUGUUCUACCGUUUCUGAAUUAGACAUUUCGUACCUUUCGUAUUCUCUACGCAGCGAUUGUAGUUUGGACUUCUGAGCUUUCUCUACUCCUUUGUGUGAUAAUUUCAAUAUGUCCCACGCUUCUUUGGCAGUCUUGGCAUUUGUUAUUUUUCCGAAUAUUGAGUAAUCAAUUCCUUGAUGAAUUUUUGAAAGUGCCAACUGGUCCUUUCUACGAGCGACUUCUUCAGCUCCUUUUUGUAAACCGGGUUUCACAAAGCUCCAAACAUUGUGAGCUUUUAGAUGUGUUGUCAUCAAAAUUUCCCAGUAACUAAAAUCUAACUCUGCGGUUAAUUUCGGACCGGACCAGACAAAAUUGUAAUUGCUUGCCAUAUCUCUCUCAAAAAAUACUCACAAUAUUUUUUUUUGACACAACGAGAACUCUUUUGUUCCUCACACACUCAAAAAUAUUUUUGACACUCACACUAGCAAGACCUAACCUGCUUUGAUACCAAUUUGAUAUCUCAGGUUGAAAUAUAUAAAACUCAAACACACAUUACAAAAGAGAGAACAAGAGGAAGUGUAACUUUUCAAGGAUUUGAUAUCAGGUUAAAAUAUAUAAAACUCAAACACACAUUACAAAAGAGAGAACAAGAGGAAGUGUAACUUUUCAUUCUAUUUUGUUUCUGAAAUUGAUAAUACAUAAAGCAUUGCUUUCAUGCCUUUAUAUAGGCCUUGAUAAAGAGAGAACAAGAGGAAGUGUAACUUUUCAUUCUAUUUUGUUUCUGAAAUUGAUAAUACAUAAAGCAUUGCUUUCAUGCCUUUAUAUAGGCCUUGAAGUACAUAUUCUUAGUGGCUAAGAAACUUUGUGAAUUAAUGGAUAAGAAACUUAGCAAGGCAACAUAAUUAGGCAGUGCAUAAUUAGACGGUGAUGUUAUCCACUAGUUUCCUUUCUUAACUUAUAAGUCACAAGCUUAAUUUAACUUUAGACACAUUGCCUUCUACAUUCUUCUAUAAUUAAUAUUUAUAUUAAUUGCCCUAUUUUCUCAAUACUUCUACACAUUACUUGAUUUAAUUUCAACACUCACUCCAUACCAUGAACUUUAUUUCUUGAUUGAUCGGUUUGUUUUGUAAGUGGACACCGCAAAUUGCUUUACUUGGAGCUUUAGGCACUGCAUAUAUGUUUGCUUUAUUUGCAACCUUCCAGGCUUAUGGUUACUACAACAUAUGAGUCGGGCAUCUCCUUGAUGAAAUUAGACCUUGGUGCAAGGCAAGUGAAUAAACUAGAGAAUUGUGUUCAAGUGUUAGCUAACUUUACUUCUGCUUGAAACGCCAUAUGCUCCAACUCAACCAUAAGGAUUAAUGAAAGUCUAUGAAGAAAAGGAUUAGAGAAAUCAACCAAAUUACCAUGCCGAAAUAUUGAAGUUGAUGAAUCACCACCAUAUAAGAACUGAAAUAUCUUAAAAUACCAUAUGAGUAUCAAGAUAUGGAUUGACGGUGUUAAUAUUGAGAGCAUAAAUUUAUCAAGUGAGACCGCCGACAAGACCAAGAGACUUAACAUAUGUUAUUCUAUGUUUUAAAUUAAUUAUCUUUAUUGUCUGAUAAGACGAGUUAAUUUCAUCUGCCGUUUGUUUGUAAACAAAUUUAGAAACUUACUUUAGGUAAAAGGUGUCACUCAUUUCCCAUGCGAGGGCGGGAGGUACCUCCUCUUUUUAUAAGCUUUUAGAAUUAUGUAGGAUAGUCGUCGGAACAAAGAAUUAACAUAGACUUACCCUUCAACAAAAGUAGGGGCCGAGAACGACGAAGAUCUCCAUUGAGAGUGUUCAAGAUCUCAAUUGAGGGCGUCCAACAAGACCUCCACAAGAGAAAAAUCAGUUGCGGUCGGAUAACGUUAAAAAAAAUCUCUGGUCUAACUAAAGUCCAAGCAACUUGGAGCCUAUGGCAUAAUCGGCUGCGGUCGGGUAAUAUUUAAUAAAACAUCUGGUCUAACUGAAGUCUAAUCAACUUGAAGCCUCUGGCAUAAUCGAUUACGGUUGGGUAACGUUUAAUAAAACCUCUGACCUAACUGAAGUCCAAGCAACUUGAAGUCUUUGGCAUAAUCGACUACAGUUGGGUAACAUUUAAUAAAACCCCUGGCCUAACUGAAGUCCAAACAACUUGAAGCCUCUGGCAUAAUCGGUUGCGGCCGAGUAACGUUUAAUAAAACCUCUGGCCUAACUGAAGUCCAAGCAACUUGAAGCCUCUGGCAUAAUCGGCUACGUCCUGGUCAUGUAAAAUAAAAGCCUCUGACCUCCAUUUGAUGUCAACCUCACAUGACUCUGAAUGUCGGAUAGGUUAGCAAAACCUAUAUCCUUUUAAAAAUACCAAAUCAACAUACUUUAGGUUAGGUCAAAAUAAUGUACUUAGGACCUUCAAGGAUGCAUUAUGAUACAUGCGUCUAAUCGGAGCCACCACGAUCCGAUUAGGAUAAAUUGCUGAUUUGUUAAGAAAUAUUAUUCUAUAUAUAUUCCAGCCAGGAUGUACGAUCCCGACUUCAACAGCCCGGGGAUGACCGAAUCUUAUUUAGUCAAGAGUAUUUUAAAAGAUGUCGACAAUAAAGUCCGGAUUACCGUAAUACUUAAACCGGCGUGAUUCAUACCUUAUCAAACUAAAAUUGCUUGGGGUUUAUCAAAUCAGUUGUUAUGCCCGGAUAAGCGAAUAAAUGGAAUAAGAUAAUGAAACUUACCGGGACAUGAUACUAAAAACGUCUGAAAUAAGCUUGAAGAUAUAUGUAUAUGAUCAAAGAUUAGACAAUAUAAAACACAUGCAAGGCAGCAAUAAAACAGUCAACAAACUUUAGAUGGGUUUGAAAUGUUGCAAGGAAAAUCAUCCAUAAUGUCAUGCAUCUGAAAAAGAUGACUAAGGAUAGAACAAAGCUUCAAAAGGUCGAGAUUCCAACAAGGGCUCUCUAACAUCCCCAUAUCUAAAACCUACCAGGUUCUACAAUGACCAUAAGUCAAGACCCCGUUGGGGCUUACCAACUUUUAUAUGACCAUAACCCGCUGAAUUCUAAGACGACACUAGAUCAAGAAUCCACAAAGGAUUUAUGAAUUCUUUAUUAAAGAUGUAGUGUUCUCCGACAUCAUUAAAGACAUAGAUCUCCCCAAAAUAUGCUUGGGGCUUACCCUUCUUAGCAAGUCAAAAUACAAUUUGAGUUUAAAGGCAAGGUAGUUAUCAAAGAUCAGUAGUAGUAAAUCAAAAUACUGCCUUGUUAAAAUCCAAAAACCUAAAUAAGAUCCAAACAUAUUAUGGUAGAGAGAGAGAGAGAGAGAGAGAGAGAGAGAGAAUCUGGAAAAAAGAGAUGCCCCAUGUUAUAAAAGAAUUGCCAUGUUUGUUCACGUUAUUGUGUCGGUUUAGAAAGUGCAUGCAAGUAAUAAUAGGUCGAGUUGUACCUUAUAUUCAAUGGAGAAUAAUGUUUCGAACUUCUUUUGUCCAAACAUUUCACCCUUUCAGGAUUCAUGUCUAGGGUGCAAAAUCGAGAUUUUUAAAUUAGCCGAGAUGUCUAUUUUUGAUCAAGAUGGUCAUGUAGGAACCUCAAACCAGUGCACAUAGGCCGAUUACCGACGUUGGGCGGUCGAGUUCCUUAAGCAAUUAAGAGGCAGGCUAAGGGUCGGAAACUAUUACAAAACGAUUAAUAAAUUGAUUACAUGUUAAUAAUGGUCAUAAAUAGUUACAAGUACAUAUUAAAUCCAUUAUAAAUAAUUAAGAUAAACAAUUAUGUUUAUGAUGGUCAUAAAGCCUAGUUGUUGUGACUAUUCAGUAGGAGGGGGAGGCUGACAGUAUAUAUAGGUCUUGGGACAAAAAAAAGGGAUAUGCAUGAUGAAUAACAUAGAAAUGAGAUAACCUACCAGAAACCUUGAACCACCAACAAUGGUGGCCAUGAACCCCUUAACCGUUACAGACACACCAACAAAUCGUUUAAGGCUCUCCCUGAAUAAUAACAAGGAAGUCAACCUUUUAAUGAUUUAGCAAGAACAAAUAGUACAAUCGUUUCUUCCUCCAGCCAUACCUCACAUACCAACAAACAACUAUUAGAAGAAACAUGCAUCGACAUUGUUCAUACAUGUGUACUAGGGAACCAAUCAACAUUACAAAAACCUAGUCGGGUGGACUGACAUGUCAUAAUACCUCUAUGUAACAUCCUAAACCCUAAAACUUAUAUAUAAAUAUAUAAUCAACAACUUAAGGUGUCACUACGGCAAUCAUCGAAAAACUUUCAAAAACAUUUAACAACUUGCAGUAGAAAUUAUCAUAAUAACAACUUCAAAAUUCAAUUUCACAAUCAAAGUAUUAGACUUUAUACCACAUAAUUCAACAUUAAUUCAAAACAUAAUAAAAAGGCCUCGUUCCCGAUGUUACCGACCAGAGCAUUUAACCGACUAAAAACAAUAACGAUAAAGUAAAUAAAGAUGAGCUCCAAGAAGCUAUCUUAAGCUCACAUCAACCAAACUCUACUCCUGAUUAUCAGCUAGAUGUCCAUGGUGGACAACAUAAAGCAAAUGGGUGAUAAUGCACUCAAAUAUGUUAACGGUGCAAAAGAUCAAUAAAGGUAUCCUAAACAACAACAACAACAAUCAUCAACAAGUAAUAUAUUCAUACAACAAUCAUCGAUAACAUAAACUCAUACAAAACACUUCAAUCAACUCAUACAAUCAAUUACUCAUUCGCAUCAACUCAUAUCAGCAGCUAACUAAAACUCAAUACAGAUAUGUAUACAAUGCCCAACUCCUUAACUCUGUCAAUGCUCGUCACAGUCUUCUCUCUGGACCGGACUUGCAACUUAACUCUAUAUACAUGUGGUACCAACUCAAAAAUGGUUCUUCAUACAAUCAGGUCCAAGAUCUGAGCUCUAAGCCCCCUCUCUGGGCUUGGUACAAAUCAUAAGUCCCCACAUCUGAACUUGUGACUCGCCUCUUUCACAACAACGAUAACAUAUGAUGCAUGACAUACAACAAUGCAAUGACAACAAAAUAACAAUGCUUAUAUCCCCACAUAUGACUAUAAACAACCAUGCAUAACAAAAACCCAACAAUUAUUACAGCCCCACAUAUGAUUGUAAACAAUUAUGCAAUGACAACAACACAACAACGAUUACAACCCCACAUCUGACUAUAGAAAAUCAUGCAUUUAAACGCAUCAACAAUAGUACUCACUUUGAACUAUGCAUCUCAAUAGUCAUCAGCAAGUAUUUUUAAUAAUUCACAUAAUUAUACUUUCACUUCACAUCAUAUACUCACACAUCAAAUACACAUAUGCACAUCACUCAAUCAUGUUAAAUCAUCGUAACAUCGCUUCAUCAUUAAUUCGUUCAUUCACAAUAAUUAACGUUCGUUUGUUACUGUAAACUAUUACAUAACAGGUACAACAAUUAAUUUUCACAAAUUCCAGUACUCAUAUAGUCUCUUAAUACAUCACUAUGGGGUAUCCGUACAUGUUAGCUUUCCAAAGCUUCAAACCGUAUCUCAUUUGGAUUUAUGGAACUAAAGUUAUGAUCAAAAUAAUGUUUUGCUAAAAUUACUCAAGUGCAAUCGAUUAUCAUCGUUCGUCAAUCGGUUGUUGUCACGCAUAUAACUAUUUUUCACGUUUUUUAACAGCUCCAAUCGAUUGUCAUCAUGAGACAAUCGAUUAUCAUAAGUUGUGUUUUCCCCAAAUACCAAUUUUUACAGCACGAAUAACAAAAUCACUUAUUCCUAAGACCCACCGAAACACACCCUAACAUAUUAUAACAACUUAUUUCAAAAAUCUAACAUCAUAUAGCAAUUAUAUACUGUUAUUACAUCAUAAACCUAUCAAUUACCAUCUAAUUUCACCAAUUUAACAUCACUAGAAAUGCAUCAUGAAAAUCAUCUUCAUGUUGAUCAUCACCAAUACAACACAUCAAUAAUAACAAUGCAAAAAAUAAGAUUUCACAUAAUCAUGCAUCAAGCUUUUUAAAGAACACAAUAAUAGAGAAAACCUAGAGGAGGGUGAGGAUCCAUCUCUACCCUUCAUACAAUAUACACCCAUAAAAGAGUAAUCUCCCUCCUUACCUUAGAAUUUCCAGCAAAGCAAACUCUAAGCUUCCCAAAUCCUAGGUUGUUUCUCUUGUCUUUUUUCUCUUGUUCUCCAAAAUAAUAGGUACUAUAAAAGAUAUACUCCUAAAUUUUUAUAUUUAAACCAAAACGUAAUUUCCCUUAAUUAUGUUAUUCCCUUAUUACCCUCAGCUUACUCCCAUAUUCUCUAUCUCGCCCCUACUUCUCUUACUAACUUCUAAUUUCUUUUAUUUUAAUUUCUAAUAACUCAAUUAUCUACCAAAUUAUACAAUUUCACUUAUUUUUCUACAACCAUCUUAUUUUUAUUUUAAAUCUAAAUUUCCUCUCAAUAAUAUCAUUCUUAAUCAUUCCUCUCCACUUAAAUUAAUUAAAAUUAAUCUAAUUAAUUUCUACCAUUCCCUUAACUUUCUUCAAUACCCACAAAAAUACAUAUAUUCACCAAUUAUUCAAAUAAAAACAUAUAAAUUAAUUUAAUAAUUACAUAAAAUAAAACUAAAUUCAAUUAAAUAAUUUAAUUGAAUUCGUGGUGUUAUAGCGCUCGUCUGAUGUUUUGGAGGGAUAGGGGAAGGAAAUUGCAGGUUGUCAUCACUGAUGUUGAACUCACUCUCUUUAUGAGGAGACUAACAUGGUUUGACAAUAUUAAAUUUUUUAACAAAUGAAGUCAAAUAAGAGUAGGAGACCAGAAGGUACAAACUAGAGCUUCUUUGCUGGAAGAAUCGUUGGCAUCAUCAUAUAAUUGCUUUGUCAUUGAAGGCCCUACUGCAGAAAAGGUUUUCACUUUCUUUCUACCCUAAAGGAAUAAAACAGAUUAGAACGUCGACAAGAAAAGACUAAAGGAAAAUAAGGUUAAAUACCUUUUACCUGUGAAAUUCUUGUAGUGCUGAUGCCUUGAGAGCUAGCAGUCAACGCCUUUGGAUUGGAGGGAACGCCUGAAAAAGGUAGAAAAAAUGCAUUAGAACCCAAAAGGUAAGUAAGGCAAGAUAAAGAGAUUAUCACUUCAGAUCUAGUCGACAAAGAUUACCUUGGUCCCAAAAGAAAGAGAAAGCGUCGACCAAACAUUGGGCCAAGAGUGUAUGAUUUGGAAAAUCGGUGUAAUGAAUAGCUCACCAGUCCUCAAACUCUUGGGUGCAAUGAUAAGAGAGCGAAAACUUGAAGGAACUAAGGAAACCUCUUUUCUUUUUCAAAAUAAGUGGAAACUUUUAAGCCAUCUUUCGUUAUGUGUGUUGGUAGAGAAGAAAAAAACCUCUACUUGAGGAACUAAGAUUUUAGGCAGCAGUUAGCUCAAACCAAACUGCAUGGCUGCCAAGUUUGGAUUGUAAGGAUAUGCUCUUAGUCCUGAAUUAGAGGAGGCGGACCUUGCCCAAAUAGCGGUGGGUUGGAAGCAUGCGAGCAAAGUAUCAUGUAUUUCCUUUUCUUCUUGACGAGAUAAAUUAGGAAAUGGUUUCCUGAACCAUUCAGGUCUACACUUUCGACUGGAAAAUGGUGUCAUGAUCAAAGUGAACGUCUUGCACCUAUAUAAAAUUUAUAAGUAAGUACAAAAGACCUUCAAAUACAUAGCCUUUCCAUCGUCGAGAGUAAGUUAGUCAAGCCUUGGACCUUCGACUUCACCUCUGAGCUAGAAGGAGUUCUUGUUUUUAGGAAAGGCUCGAAAGUGUCAUUGAGCUACAAUUGCAAAAGCUAGGUAUGACCACCUACCUGAAGGCUUCCAAGACUUGCCAUUUUCUUCAGGUUUUGUGACACUAACCCUAGAGAUUCAUACAUGCCACAGAGAAAUAAUCUGUUGAGGCAUACUUUUCUCCCUUCAUGAAGUUGGGUGGCCAAAGGUACAUACUUCUUAGCCAUCUGAGCAGAUCGAGCACAUAAAAAAUACAUGGAAAGCUAAUAGGUUAGAAAAGCAAUGUGUUCAUAAGCAUCCACUCGAUCUGUCGAAGCUUGAUGAUCUUUGAUGAAGAAGCUGUAAGUAUUUCUAGUGAAGGUAAACCCAUGACUUUUUCUUGUCUUAGUUGGAGGCUCAAAGGCCCCUCUAGUUGGUCGAAGGACAACGAUAACAACAAUGUCGAAAAGUGUGAGGGUUAUCAUCCCACAAGGAAGGUGAAAUAUGUUGGUCGAGGUAUCCCAGAAGCACAUGGCUGUAAUGAGCAUGUGAGAGUUGUGAUUUGGACCAACUCGUCACAACUGGAUUAGGUCAAAGAUGCCCAAAUCCCUCUAAAAAGUUUCUUUUUUUCUUGAACACUAUAUAACCAUUGAAUGUAAUCAACAUCCUCAGUCGAAAGGGAAGAAAUAAAGGCCAUAUUCUUAAAGAAGUUAAAAACAAAGGGGCAUCCACGAACACUAGAGGUUCAUAACCAGGGAAGUAAUGGAAGAAAUAUUUUAGUAUUUAGGGUUUCUUGAUACGCUUGAGGAGAGGACCUAUGAUGCAUAGGUGGUACUUGCAAUGGAGUAAGGAAUCAAAUAAGUACUAUACCAAUCAUUUCUUCUUCCAUCCUCCAUGGGAGGUUCAGAAAUGUAGGUGCGAUCGUUCAAGAAGAGUGGUUCGUCAAUGACAUUAGCAAAAGGAGGAUGUGAUUGUACUUUGGGAACCACUGUUGAUUUUAAAGGCUUCUCAAGUGGAAGCGUAAUGGGGAAGAAGAAAAACUGUAGAAUAAACUCUCUCAAGGUUUCCUUUUUCUAUUUUAUGUUUCAGAAAAAUAGAAAUGGUGAAAGAGAAUAGGGUUUUAGGGAGAACAUUUUAAAUAGAUAGAGAAAGAAGAUGGUUCAAUUUUUCCCUCCAAAUAAUUAUGGACACAUAGCGCACUCGAGUUAACAGUUGACACUAAAAGGCCAUCGAAAAAGAUGAAAAAUGGAAUUAUGAGUUUUGUCUUAAUUUCGUUUUUAAUAAAUCUCCUAGGAAAUAGGGAAUUCUGAUAAUCAAUUGCACACACGUCUGUGAUGUGAAAUAAUGGUAGAAAAUGGUCAUAAUGACUAAGAAAUAAUAAUUAAAUAAUAAGACAUUUCGUUGAUGUGACAUGUGCAUACUAGGCAAACAAUGUCUAAGGGUUACAAAAACGUCACCUUUCUUCAAUCUGAUAAUAUGAUCAAAAAUGAUUUUUUUGGGGCGUCUGUUAGCAUGAAAUUUCUAGUUAGGAAAAGUCAAUUGAAUGUUGCAUUGGAAAAAUGCUAAACGUUAGCAUUGAUUGACACAAGUUGACAUGAAUGGGUACGUCGACUAGAGUGUUUCGACUAACAUCCAAAUCAAGGUCUGGAAGAAUCUCAAUAAAAGAUCUUGAUACAUGGUUUGGAGGAGUCUCAGGAACAUAUCUGAUUGAUCUCCCGACAUCGUGUCGAGGGGAAAGCGUUUGACGAACUUCAAAGACUUAGAAGAUUUUGAAAACCAAAGACUGGAAAGGUUAAUUAGUGUUUUUAGCAAUUACCUUCGAUGAGUAGGCAAUUACUAGUCACUAAGAGCAGUUACGAACGUGGGAUAAUGAUUUUCAACAAUUUUCAAGUACUGAUGAUGUGGCAGUGCAUCAGAAUAUCAAGUUACAUGUUCUUGAAGGUGUGUCGAUUCUCUAGGUAUAAGCUGUUAAAGACGGUUAUCUUUAGUUUAACAUAUAUAGUAGUUUCAUAUGUUCUAAUCAAUGUCACAAAUUUUAUAUACUUUCUCUAUAGAACUGGAGUACCCAAGUCAAAGUGCGAAACAAUUUGUGAGUAACAUGUGAGUCCACGUCCAUUUUGUUUUAUUGUCUUUAUGUUUCCUUAAUUGAAGCAUCUUUACCUUUUGUCAUUUAUUGCGUUUAUUUAAUGUUGUUUAUUGCAAAUUUCUUUUACUGUAAUUCAAGAUUUUUCAUCGUUAAAGUUUGUCUUUAACUUACCUGCACGCAAAGAUUCAUAUUCACUUCAUAUACAUACUUUCUUGUUAACGUGUUUGUACAAAAUUGCUCCUGAGACUUUUCGAGUUAAUUUCAGAGACUUUUAAACUCGUGAUUGUUCGCUAAAAACACAUGCGAACAUUAUGUAAAAAGACGGUUAUCUUUAGUUUAACAUAUAUAGUAGUUUCAUAUGUUCUAAUCAAGGUCACAAAUUUUAUAUACUUUCUCUAUAGAACUGGAGUACCCAAGUCAAAGUGCGAAACAAUUUGUGAGUAACAUGUGAGUCCGCGUCCAUUUUGUUUUAUUGUCUUUAUGUUUCCUUAAUUGAAGCAUCUUUACCUUUUGUCAUUUAUUGCGUUUAUAUAAUGUUGUUUAUUGCAAAUUUCUUUUACUGUAAUUCAAGAUUUUUCAUCGUUAAAGUUUGUCUUUAACUUACCUGCACACAAAGAUUCAUAUUCACUUCAUAUACAUACUUUCUUAUUAACGUGUUUGUACAAAAUUGCUCCCGAGAUUUUUCGAGUUAAUUUCAGAGACUUUUAAAUUCAUGAUUGUUUGCUAAAAACACAUGCGAACAUUAUGCAAAAAGAAAAAAAAGAGAAUCAUAAAUAGGUUCCAUAUAAGUUGCAUUAUAAAUAAAAAAGUAAAAAAACAAACAAAGAAAGAUUUAUGAAAACUAUGUUGCUGGCUUAAAAUAAGACAUGAAAAUAUCACAAGCCUUUCCAUGUAUCAAGGCUCAACACAUUUUAUCCAUAAAUUGACUAUACCACAAGUAUUUGUAAAACUUAAAAUAAAUUCACAUUUUAUCCAUAAAUUGACUCUACCACAAGUAUUUGUAAAACUUAAAAUAAAUUCAGUUAAUACCAAUCACCAUCACAUGCGCAACCAUGUAUUUCAACAUUCAAAUAAAAUUCACAAUAUCAAAUCUAUCUAUUUCUCUAUUAUUACAAAUAAAACUAUGUUUUGAUCCACCACAUAUAUUAUGCAUGGUCUUAUUCAUGAAAAACGGACAUACACUAGAGCGAAACAAAGCAAUGUAGCACAAUAUUUAGUAUGUGUUUCAAUGAUGCAAUCACUACUAUAAUAUAAAAAUGAGUUGUAACCAAAAUGUAUUUUUUUUUUAAGUCGCAAAAUUGCAUUCGAAUGAAUAAAUCCAAAAUGUAAAUCUUUUUUUAAAGUGGCAAAACUGCAUUCGAAUGAAUAAAUAGACAAAGGCUCGAGAAAAUAUAACUGUUGGGGGAGUUUUUCACUAGAGAGCAUUGAAUAUUGUGAGACUUUCUUUUUCCAGAGCAACACCUUUGUGAGAGACACACCACAUAUUCACCCAAAAUCUUAAGGUGAUAGGUGAGUGAGUUCUCUGACUUAUAAAUGCUCAAGUCUCCAUAUUACCAACCAAUAUGGGUCUAUUAUCCACACUACUCACACUUAAUACAUACACUCCCCCUCAAGUGUGAGUCCACAAUGCUCCUCAAGUGAAAGUUCUUCUUACUUUCACAAAUCCUUGUACCGUACAUAACAUUUCUUAUUAACCACACUGGCGCUGUUGACACUCUUCAACGAAAUGUUUCUUAUUCACCAUCCUAGCGCCGUUGACUUUCGAUACAAGUAACCCGAUCCCUUUCUGAAACCAAAGGCUUGUGAUACCAUAGUUGGGGGAGUUUUUCACUAGGGAGUGUCAUACGGUGAAUUGACUUUGGGUGCUUUUGCUUUGGAAAGCAAAUGUCGCGGAUAGCAAGAUUCCCCACCGACUUUUCUUUUAUCCAAUAAGGAAAGGCGGAAAAGAACAGGAAAGACCUUGAUUAGAUUUUGGGUUCGGGAGGUACAUUAUACAAAGGGAAAGUGUUAGCACCCUUUGUAUCCAUGGUUAUCCAUGGGCUCUUAAUUGCUUGAUCACUUAUGUUUUUCUUGUUUGAAAAAGUGUUUGGGAAGCUGUUUAAAAAAUGUUUUGAAAAGAGAGUUUAACUUUGUAAUGAUUCUUGUACGAAUGUAUACAAAGUAUUUAUCUCGUUUAAUUUUGAAAGCUGUUUAGAAAAAUAUAACUUGGCAAUGAUUCUAGUACGAAUGUAUACCAAUGGUGAUUUCUAAUAGAUGUUUUGCAAAGUAUGAGGUGUGAAAAGUAUUUUAGUUGUGAGUAAGCAUUUAAGAGUUAUACCUACCCAAGGUUUUUAUGGCAUUUCCUACCUUAUGAGGGUAAAACUCCUUACUAUUGAGAAGUAAGUAGUCUAUCCUUGGAUGUAAAGGGACAUCGUAGGUCACUCGAUUGGUCAUUGAAGGCAACAUUGUAAGGAUACCUAGCAUUCGAAGGGACGAUCAUCAUUAACCGUAGCUACAACGACGGCCAUCGAGGGACAAAAUCGUAUAUUCGAAGGCAACAUCCGAGGACUAUGUAUUAUCUAUAUAGGGACGUGAUGAUUUAAUCGAAGGGUCUUGCUAAGUGUAUCCACGGUUAACAUUCAGGAUAUUCAUGCAUACUUAAACCCACAUGCAAAUCUAACUACAUAUCCAAAAUUCAAUCAUAAUGCAUCAUGUAUUUAGAGAUACAAAUUGGAAAUAUAAACGGUCGUGAUGGUGCAAACCUGUUUGCGAUUGAAUGCACCAGUGAAUUGGCAGAUCACUCUUAGGGUUGUACCGGAUCGAGUGGGCGGAGGUAACCUUUUGCAGGUGAGUUUCCUUCAGGGUUUCUUUAGGGUUGCUCUGAAUUCUUUUGGUUAGCCUCCCAGGGUUUUGCUCUCUGUGCGUGUUGUGUUCUCCUUUUCUCCUCUGUUUUUCGUCCUCCCCUUUCUGAAUGAGGUCUUGGUAUUUAUAAUAGUAUUUUUGUGACCUAAUGGGCUCAGAAUGAAGCCCAAAAUUUCUGGUAUUCGCAAGCUCGCUAGGCGAGUGUGCAGCGAAGAGUUCGCUAGGCGAAGGAUUUGCUCGCCUAGCGAGCAUCUAGUUUGAGUCAUUUUCUGGAUUUGGCCACCUGGGAGCUGGGUCUUUGUUCCUUUAAGAUCAAUGUCUGAACAAUGAGUGGAGUGCCUUGAAGAAUAUCUUGAAAGAUUACCACUACGCCAAAUAAGGAAAAGAGGGCGCUUUUUUGGCCUAUAACAGCGCUUUAAAGCGCCCUCUAAUCUGGCGCUGACAUAGGUAAAGACAGCGCUUUUUCCUGGUAAAGCGCUGUCUAAAGUGGCUCUUUAAGCCCUUUAAGGCCACUUUAGAGGCGCUUUUUAAGAAAGCGCCCUCUAAAGGGAACAUUUAAGGUUUAGAGGCCUUACUGGAAAGCGCCCUCUAAAGUGGAAACUUUUAAGGGUUUAGAGGCGCUUUACUGGAAAGCGCCCUCUAAAGGGAAACAUUUAAGGGUAGAGGGCGCUAUUUACUGGAAGCGCCCUCUAAAGUGGAAACUUUAAGGUUUAGAGGGCGCUUUUACUGGAAAGCGCCCUCUAAAGUGGAAAUUAAAGGGUUUAGAAGGCGCUUAUUUUGGGAAGCGCCCUCUAAAGUGGUGGUUAUUUAAUUUUUUUUUUUUAAAAGCGCUAUAUUUUUUUAUUUAUUUAGACAACCUUGUAGAUGCAGUAGUACACCCAAAACUGUAUAAUUGAAGCCCUUUUUCACACAUGCAUUCAACAAGCCUAUAUACAAACAAUCCAUACAUAUACAACAAUCCACUGAUAUAUAAUCUGUUAACUUCUAAAGAUUCUAAAUAUACAACCAAUUCAUAACUUAAAAAGAAAAAAACUAAGUAGCAAAAGCACUCUGAGAUGUAUGUUUUUUUUGGCUACAGCAGUCUUCUUAGCAACAACCUCUUUUUGUUCAUAUCAAUAGCAUGAACCUAAAAUAUCAUAAAAGUUAGGUGAAGUAUAAGAUCAAGAAUAACAUUUUCUAUGCAUAAAUAUCAUAUAAUUGUUUUAUACCUUUUUUUUAAUGCAACUGACCGAUUUGUGCGAAUCCCUUUAUUUUGGUCUCUUAUCUUUGAAGAUAGAAUUGAUAUUUGUCUAGAUGGACAUGUUCCAUUGUCGAGAGAUACUUCAAAAUAUCCGCAUCAUCAUCACGCGAAUGAGGCUUGACGACAAUGGAACAUCUCCAUCUAAACAAAUAUCAUGGAUACUUUCAAAGUAUCCCUUGCACGAAUGAUUGACUUCAUAAUAGCCAUUUUACAUGUAAUAAAGAAACAAUUAAAAUCAGAUGACAAAUGUAAAAACAAUAAACACAUAAAUAAGUCUUUACUGUAAUAAAGAAAACAAUAAAAAUCAUUUGACCAUGUCCUUUUUCACUAAAGUUCUCUUUCUUUCUUAGUUGGAAUAUGUUCUACAGUCUCUGUAACAACGACGGUACGUUGAUUGACAAAUACCCUCAUAUCGAUCAUUUCUAAUAUAUGAACAUUGAUAUAACAUAUCUCAUCUUGAUCAUUUCUGUAAACGAUUCAAUCCAACAUCAAUAUCACCUGAAUCUCCAUGUUUCAUCAAUUACUUUGUUGGAAAAAGACUAUAGAUCAUUUCGUACUUUUCGAUCAAUGACAUAAACACUUGUCUAAGCUUGAGAGGCUAGAAUAAAGACUAUCUUUGUAUCCACCGCUAUUAAGACCACUUGCAAAAUCCUGACUUAUCCAUUCGAAUGCCGUUUAUAUUUUCAACCCACUUGCCAAACCAAAUAUAGAAUCUGAAACUCUCAUAAUCAAACACCCAAAUGCGUUCGAUAACACCAAAAUACGACAGAUUUGGCAAAUGGGGUUAAGUCCUUCACAACUUGAUAUGUGCAUUGUUUUCAGCUACCACGGUGACACCACUAUCUUCUGUUAGUACUUUUAUCAUCUAUGUUCUUUGGUAUAAAAUGGUAUCCAUUAAUCGCAUGCUGCGCUAUAAGAAAACAUGGAACUUGGACCAUAUGCUAAGCAUCUCUAACCUUUCUGUUGAAGCGGGAUCUGAAUAAUACUUUGAAUAAAUACGAUCCUUAAAACGCAAGAAAAACAUCGCUGCGCUCUCGUACUAUCCAAUUUUUCAUUUCUAUUGGGAUUAAACCUCGGAGACAUCCUGUGAAUUCAACAUCGGGCUCAACCUCAUCUCAUUGGCAGAACAUACAAAUGCACUUGACCCGUAUCGACCUUGAAUACUGCCACGAUUUUUUUCCAAUUAGAUUUUUCCUUCUUUCUUUUCGACCAGCUGAGACUUGGGAGUCCGAUUGACUGAACCAUUAGACAAAUAUUCAGUACAAAACUCAAUCACUCUUCAAACAAUGUACUUUCAACCAGUACAACCUUCUGUCGACUUCGGUUCUUCACGUACCCUUAUUAUUUUAUAUUUCAUAUAACGUUCAACAGGGUACAUCCAUCCAUAUAAGUUGGUCCACCACAUUGUGUCUCCUUUCACAAGAUGAACACUAGAUGUACCAUUAUGUCAAAAAUGAUGGAGGAAAAAACAUUUCAAGCUCACACAAAUAAUAACGAUUUCUUUUGCAACAUUGGUAAGAUCGCAGGAGUGAUCCCUUACUGCAAUGACUUGAAAGAACGAACCACUUAGUUAUAGAGCUUCUUACUUUCUCUGGAAGAAUAGAAGCUAUACCUAUGGGAAAAUGUUCCAUUAUAACAUGGCAAUCAUGCGGUCUUUAACCUUUAACUGUAGGUCUUUCAUAACACAAGUCUUCUAAUUACUGAAGGUACCCUUCUGAACUUCUAACUCUCACUUAGAAACUCACACAUGUUUUUUUCCUUUUCUAGAUAGAGUAUACGCAGCAGUCGGUAGAUAUGUUCUUCCUUUCUUCAAGGUCCUAAUUCAGUCUAUUUCGCCAUCCUAUCCAGUCCUUUCUUGCCUUAAGGUCAUCCUUAGACUUUCUUGUAUAGUGAGUACGUGCCAAAUAACACUUCAAUACAUAUUUUCAAUAUCAUACAGUCAGAAAAUGUACUCACAUACAAGGGACUCCACAUAACGGCAAUCAAAAAAUAACUGACCUCUUCUUCACCCCACUUUGACAGUGUUGGCAAAAGCUUGGCCAAACUGGUACCAACAUCUUUCACACUUUUCAAAAAUUUGAAUCACCCGUCAAUAUAGGUAGGAAGCUCUGCUUUGUCCUGUCUCUCCAUUGAACGCCUGUUCUCCACAGUACGUGAAUGAUUUGAAUUUAAGAACUCCGAUGACCGAGAAUGACAUUCUCGACCAACAUCCAAGCCUUUCCAAUCUGUUAUUCUUCACAAAUAGGAACCACACUUGACCUUUUAGUUCAUAACCCUGAUAGAUUUCUGUAUGCUGGAAAAUCGAAAUUGUGCACAACAACAUCGCCCUCAAUUGAAACUUUCUUAUCUAUACCAUGCAUAAACCUCACACACCGUGUCUCCACCACAAAAAUCUUUAAAUCUUCGUUAAGGGCUUCAAGUUACACGUCUAUGUCGAUUCCAUGGUUGUUUAGAUCCAGAAAUCAACAUAGACACAAUGUACUUACGCUAACAUACAAGCACAUGGAGGUAGGUUAGUAAAUCAUAAAUAUCACAAGCCAUGUACUGCUGUGCAGAUACUUCUGGAUACCGUGUGCGUUAUUCCAUCAGUAGAUAAUGCCAAGCGAGUUCUUGAUCCUUUCUCCAAAUUCAGGAUAAUCAUUAUCAAUUUUAACAAUUUGAGUGAAGUUCGCCGGGAUAGUCGAUACUUUUCGCAUCUAUAAUUCUUCAUUUGCAUGUCAGGUCAGUGUUCUGAAUCGGUUCACUACGAACAUGCGUCGAAACUUCGGGAAUAACAGGAAAAUACCUCACAAGACUUUUGGCGGAGACACUGUUCUUAAUACGCAAUAACACCGCAUUAGGAACUCAUUACGAUGGCAUACUCAUUUCGAAAACAAACGCAAUCGAUUGACAUGCAAUUAUCUUUUCAUAGCUUCAUGCCAAUAGAGCACGAACAUCUUUGUUGGUCUCAUAUGUUCGAUUGGAAGAACAGUUAUCCUCAGAGGAUAGCAUUUCAAAAGGGUAAUUAAUCUGUGAAACUUUUACCCGACCAUUCCAUUGCCCGCUCUUAGAAGUUGUUACAACUUAUAUAGUACCGCAGACUUUGUGAAUUUAGUGCAACCAUCAUAGCAAAGGUUUCCGUGCCAUCACUUACAAACUCUCCAAACAUUUCGGGACCAUCGCCUAAGAUCUCCUUACAAGUGCUUCAUGCAAUCUCUUUCCACUCGAUCACAAUCGUAUGUAUCUGCGCACUAUAUUUGACGGCACUGGUCGUACUAUCCCCCGAGUUGCAACAUUGCUCUUACUUUUCUCACCAUGCAAAUUCCAACAUGGUAAAACUUCUCAUCAAUUCCAUGCCUCAUUGCAUGCGAUGUCACUGAACUGCGUAACGCCGUUUCCCAUAACAAUACACCCAAGCAAGGAGCAUAUCAUUCUACUGGGGUCUUCGCAGUUAGUGGCAGACGGAAAUUAACGAAUUCUGCUACCCCAUUCUCGGUACUCUCGUCGACAAGUCGAUAUGAGAGACAUCCAUUUAUGUAUCCCUUACUAAUUUAGAAUAACAAAAACAAUUCAGAAGAGAAACCCAAAAUGGGAUGAGACAACUAACAAUUUGCUUAUUGAGUUAGUCUCUGUGCAGGGCACUCAAUGUCUCCAUUACUCUAUCAAAUAACUCCAUACCUAAACUUUAAUUACUAGCUACGCUAGUGAACGCUAAGUUACUAGACACAAAGUUUCGUAUGUUCUAUAAUUGCAACCUAACUGAACCCUAAACACGUUGAUGAUGUGAUUCAAGCCUGAGUUAGUCAAAUUCAGCAUUAAAAACCAACCUCAAUGCAUAAUAACCAAAAACUAUUAAAUUGACUAUGAUAUUGAAACUUUACAGGUCGAGAACAACGUAGCAGUAGACAACAAUCAAAGAAAUGAAAUUGGGGCAAAAGCGAUGAAAACAAAGCAAUAUGCAAGAAAUGUAUGCAUCGAUGUACCUUUUGAUGGAAGAAGAGGAAACGUCAGUAGAUCUAAAGAGGGGAAGGAGAACGCCGUAGAACCCUAACGUGAAAAAGAAGGAAAGAUAUACAGAGGUGAAUGAACAAACACGCACAGUAUCUUAUAAUUUUUAUGUUUAGCUAAAGAGGCCUUACGAGGGCGGCUUGUGAGAAAAAAGCGCCCCUUAAAGGGGCCUAAGGGCGCUUAUGGAACGCUCUCUAAGGCUUCAAAGCGCUUUAUAAGCACUGUAAUGCACCUAUGGACUUAUAACAGCGCUUUAAUUAAAAGCGCCCUCUACAGGAACUUAGAGAGGCGCUUUUACAAAGCGCCAUUUCGUAUUGUCUCCUCAUCUCCUCCUUAUUAUUUUCGCUUCACUUAGAGGACCUUUAUCAAAAGCGCCCGUCAAAGUGCCGCUGCUAUUGACUAUCCUAUUUAUUCGCAUUACAUACUAUAGAAGAGCGCUUGUUGUAAAGAAAAGCGCACUCCUGAAGGUGCUUAUCUACUUUCCAUAUAUUUGGCGUAGUGAACGGCAAAUAUUCUGGGUAAGACACUCCCUGUUACAUAUUCUUAGACCAGAGAGUAGAAUGGUAUGUACGCCUCAGUGAUCUGGAGUGGAAGACUUAUUGAACCCUAGAUCCCGAAAUUGCACUUGUUAAUUGGAGAUGGUCUGAGCGGAGAUGGCAUUAGAGAUAGCCAUCUCAGAAGUUUGAUGAAUGAGAGGCUCAGAGUGUGAUGCUACAUCAGCCCGACAUCUGAGAGACCAUGAGGUGCCACACCGGGUCGACAGACCGUAUAGUUGAGCAUCCAUUAGCUCACUUCACGGGGAUAAAGAUCAGAAGGGAACGACGCUAGAUCGUAUCUAGUGUCAGAAUGAGCCUACGUUAGGCUGCAUCUAACGAAAAAGAAUCAGCAAGGAUGUAUGCUAAGAUCGAUCUGAGUGCAGAAUGACCGUACGUUAGGCUGAUCUAAGAAAGUAGUCGUACGCUAGACACACCUCGGAAUGUACCGUACAGGAGACGAGAAUGAAGAUCAGAAUGGAUCGUACCUAGAUUCGUACUGAUUGGGGCAAUAGCCGACGUGUUGUAUCUGACAAAAGUAGCGGACGCUAGACUACCCCCGAAUUACCGUUACGCUAGUAGUAUGAGAAUGAAGAUUAAGAAGGAUCGUACGCAUAGAUCGUAUCUGAGUUGUAGAAUGAGCAUACGUUAGGUUGUAUCUACAAAGAUCGAUCCGUAGACUAUCGCCUCAGAAUGUACCGUACCUAGGUAGUAUCUAGGAAUGAAGAUCAAAGGAUAUACGCUAGAAUCGUACGAGCUCAGAAUGUACCGACGGUAGGCUGUAUCUUGACAUAAAGAGUUGACGCUAGACUACGCCUCGACAUGUACCGACCCUAGUAGUACUGAGGGAGAACAUCCCAAAUGGGUCGUUACGCUAGAAGCGUAAUUGAAAGUUGAAAAAAUUCAUUGAAUGUUGGGCUGAAUCAGAGAACCAUACGUAGGCGUAUCUGAUAAAUUUGUAUACGUUAUAUUUGCAAAUAAAUGUACGGGAGGCUUAAAGAUGCCAUCAUUGAGGAGGAUAUCAGCUGCUUGUCAGAAUGAAUGUUCAUAGAUUAUAUCGAAAGACGUAUCCGAACCUUAUUAAUCAAAAGAGUACCCGCGAACCGAAUCUUUAUUUUGACUGUAUCAGGAGGAUAAUUAACCUGAAAAAUAAAGUUAGCUUCAUGCCAUGUCAUGAUGCAUGAGAUGUUUUAUGCUUGCGAACAUUGUAUGCAUGCGUAUGCUGUGAAAUGAUGUAAUCAAUGAAUUAUGCGUCUGAGAAGUUCUGCCAGGGGAAAAUAAAUCCCGAGAUUCCGGUUGGAGACAUUUGUAUUGAUGAAUCUUUCUUAGCUGGGGGUAUUUGAUUUUUGUCUGAUGGUAGAAAUAUUCACCAGAAGCCCGGCUGGGGAUGGAAGAGAUGACCAGUCUGUCUAGUAAUGCCAAUUUCUUCUGGGGAAUAAUUGGCUUUGCUGGGGGAUAAAAUUAGCAACGGAUUCAUUGGAACGCAUGGUUAGACCUUCUCCUCGAUCCUGAAGUCUUUUAGUAAUCGCUAUUUCUAUUUUAUGCAUGUAUUUUUGGUAAACAUCGAUCAUAUUCAAAUGCAUAUAUUAAUUCAAAUUAAAUCAAUGGACAUUUACGCAACCAAAACAGAAAAGUAAAAACAAAAGCAUCUUUUUUUUGAAAGAGGGUUGUAUUGAUUUUGAAAGGAGGCCUAUAAACAGGCAAUUUGUGUACAAGGAGACAGAAAUCCUAGUAAGAGGAAAUUGUCAAGAAAACAAAGAGAAAGCUAUGCAGAAAAAGUCCUAUUGAUUUUAAUUCCACUACUGUCAUUAUGUCUUCAAGCCUCUCAUCUCCUGCUGUCGGAUAGAAGUGAUUGGCUUGUUCAGUCCCUUUGACUUGGGUGAAGCUGACUGAGAACGGGACAUAGUCAUACGCUUUAAUCCCUAAUUUUUGCCUGGACCGCCUUUUCAGGUUUUCAGUCCACCAGGAUACCCUUUUUUGCCCAAGCCGCCUUUUCAGGUUUUCGACUUGCCGGGUGUACAUUUUUAUAUGUUUAUCCCUAAUUUUUGCCCGAACCCUUUUGGUUCGCCGGGAUGCCCUUACUUUUGCCUAGAUACGUCGACCUAGCGGGUCUCUUUUAUGCGUAGUAUUUUUUAACUAUGUCCGCGUUCACGGGAUGCGGGAAGUCUUCGCCAUCCAUUGUAGCAAGUAUCAUGGCUCCACCAGAGAAUACCUUCUUAACUACAAAUGGCCCUUCGUAUGUGGGAGUCCAUUUGCCUCUGGGAUCACCUUGUGGUAGAAUGAUACGCUUUAUCACCAAGUCGCCAAUUUGAUACACCUGUCUCUUGACUUUUUUGUUAAAUGCCUGGGUCAUGCGCUUCUGAUAUAUCUGCCCAUGACAAACAGCCGCAAGUCUCUUUUCAUCAAUCAAAUUUAUCUGAUCGAGUCGAGUCUGAAUCCAUUCAUCUUCAUCUAAGCCCGCCUCUUUCAUGAUUCUUAGAGAGGGAAUCUGAACUUCCACUGGUAAAACGGCUUCCAUUCCGUAGACUAAAGAGAAAGGAGUUGCCCCUGUCGAAGUGCGUACUGAAGUGCGAUAACCAUGAAGAGCAAAUGGUAACAUCUCAUGCCAGUCUUUGUAUGUUACUGUCAUCUUUUGUAUAAUCUUCUUAAUAUUCUUAUUAGCAGCUUCUACGGCGCCAUUCAUCUUUGGCCGGUACGGAGAAGAGUUAUGGUGUUUUAUUUUGAACUGCGUGCAGAGUUCAGUAAUCAUCUUGUUGUUCAAAUUAGUACCAUUAUCAGUGAUAACUCUUUCAGGGAUGCCAUACCGACAAAUAAGACUAUUCUUGAUGAACCGUGCCACCACAUUCUUGGUGACAGAAGCAAAUGAGGCUGCCUCUACCCACUUUGUAAAGUAAUCAAUAGCAACAAGAAUGAAACGAUGUCCAUUAGAAGCAGUAGGUUUAAUCUCUCCAAUCAUAUCAAUGCCCCACAUUGCAAAGGGCCAAGGGGCUGUCAACACGUUCAAUGGAGCAGGAGGUACAUGUACUUUGUCCGCAUAGAUCUGGCACUUGUGACAAGUUCUGGAGUGAUGGUGGCAAUCAGCUUCCAUGGUAGACCAAUAAUACCCUGAUCUCAGAAUCUUCUUGGCCAUCGUAUGUCCACUAGAAUGAGUCCCAAAAAUACCGUCAUGCAUGUCUUCCAUAAUCUUUUCUGCUUCCUUUUUAUCCACACAGCGAAGCAAAGUCGAAUCAUGAUUACGUUUGUAUAAUACUCCAUUACUCAAAAAGAAUUUAGCGGAGAACUUCCUCAGAAAUUUUCUGUCAUUGAUGGAUGCCCCUUCAGGGUAUUCCUGAGUUUCUAAAUAUCUUUUUACUUCGUGGAACCAAGGUUUCUCUUCUACUUCAUCAGCAUUAAGUUCAUAACAAUAUGCUGGUUCAUCUAAUCGUUCAAUGGUGAUCAUGGGAGCUUCAUUGUCCCAUCUGACUCUGAACAUAGAUGACAUGGUAGCCAAUGCGUCUGCCAACUGAUUCUCUUCUCGUGGAAUAUGUUCGAAUGUAAUCUCUUCAAAGUAUGGGAUUAAUGUCAACACCCGCUCUCGAUAAGGGAUGAGAUUCGGAUGUUUAGUGUCCCAUUCUCCUUUGAUCUGACUGAUUACUAAGGCUGAGUCUCCGUACACACUCAAAAACUUGAUUCUCAGGUCUAUAGCAGCUCUGAGUCCCAAAAUACAUGCUUCAUACUCAGCCAUAUUGUUGGUACAAUCAAAACAUAGUCUAGCAGUGAAAGGCGUAUGGCAACCCUUGGGAGAAAUAAUUACAACACCAACACCAUUGCCCAAUGCAUUAGAAGAUCCAUCAAAAACCAUAGUCCAUCGGGAUCCCAGUUCGGGUCCUUCAUCCGGUCCAGGUUCUUCAUAAUCAGUAACAAGCAUGACAUCCUCAUCUGGGAACUCAAAAUUCAUAGAUUGGUAAUCAUCCACUGCUUGAUGAGCCAAAUGAUCAGCUAGCACGCUUCCUUUGAUUGCUUUCUGGGUAGUAUACUGGAUAUCAUACUCUGUUAAAAUCAUCUGCCAUCUUGCUAUUCUUCCGGAGAGAGCAGGUUUCUCAAAUAUAUAUUUGAUAGGAUCCAUCUUAGAAAUCAAUAAAGUGGUAUGAUUCAACAUAUACUGUCUUAGUCGGCGAGCAGCCCAGGCCAAAGCACAGCAAGUUUUCUCGAGCAGUGAGUAUCUUGUUUCACAGUCGGUAAACUUUUUGCUAAGGUAGUAUAUGGCAUGCUCUUUUCGACCAGACUCGUCAUGUUGCCCCAACACACACCCCAUUGAAUUUUCUAACACGGUCAAAUACAUGAUUAGAGGUCUUCCUUCAACUGGUGGCAUCAGAAUUGGAGGUUCUUGGAGAUACUUCUUGAUUUUGUCAAAAGCUUCUUGACAUUCGUCAUUCCAAAUCAUCUCUUGAUUUUUCCUCAGUAAUUUGAAGAUGGGUUUGCAGGUAGCAGUCAAAUGGGAGAUAAAUCGGGCAAUGUAAUUCAAACGUACCAAGAAACCUCUGACUUCUUUAUCUGUACGGGGAACUGGCAUUUCUUGAAUAGCUCUCACCUUAGUCGGGUCAACCUCAAUUCCUUUACUACUGACAAUAAAGCCCAAGAGCUUACCGGAUCUUACUCCAAAGGUGCAUUUGUUCGAGUUCAAUCUCAACUUGUAUUUCUUCAACCUCUCAAAUAGUUUGUAUAAAUGAUCAAGAUGUUCUUCUUCAGUAUGAGAUCUGGCUAUCAUGUCAUCCACAUAUACUUCUAUUUCAUGAUGGAUCAUGUCAUGGAACAAAACCACCAUAGCACGCUGGUAUGUCGCCCCUGCAUUCUUUAAACCGAAUGGCAUUACUUUGUAACAGAAAGUGCCCUAUUGCGUCACAAACGUAGUUUUCUCCAUGUCUUCAGGCGCCAUCUUGAUCUGGUUAUAACUCGAGAAUCCAUCCAUGAAGGAGAAUACCUUAUGUUGAGCGGUGUUAUCUACCAGAACAUCAAUGUGCGGAAGCGGAAAGUCAUCUUUGGGACUCGCUUUAUUCAAAUCUCUGUAAUCUACACACAUUUAUCAAUGUGCGGAAGCGGAAAGUCAUCUUUGGGACUCGCUUUAUUCAAAUCUCUGUAAUCUACACACAUUCGCACCUUACCAUCCUUCUUCGGCACCGGUACCACAUUAGCAACCCAUUGAGGAUAAGAAGUAACAGCUAGAAAACCGACAUUAAAUUGUUUCAUAACCUCGACUUUGAUUUUCUCGGACAUUUCAGGACGCAUGCGACGAACCUUUUGCUUAACAGGAUAACAAUCUUCCUUCAUCGGUAAACGAUGUACUACUAUAUCAGUAUCCAGUCCUGGCAUGUCUUCAUAAGACCAAGCAAAAAUCUCAAUAUAGUCCUGUAACAUCUGAAUCAAUCUUUCCUUGAUACUGUCUCCCAAGCCUGCUUCUAUUUUGACUUCUUUCUUGUCUACUUCAGUACCCAGAUUUACAAUUUCGAUUGAUUCCUCAUGCGGCUGUAUAGUCUUUUCUUCUUGCAGUACCAGUCUGGCAAGCUCUUCAGGUACUUCACAAUCUUCCUCACUUCCAUCCUCGGCUUGGUAGAUCGGAUUUUCAAAGUCAUAAUNNNNNNNNNNNNNNNNNNNNNNNNNNNNNNNNNNNNNNNNNNNNNNNNNNNNNNNNNNNNNNNNNNNNNNNNNNNNNNNNNNNNNNNNNNNNNNNNNNNNNNNNNNNNNNNNNNNNNNNNNNNNNNNNNNNNNNNNNNNNNNNNNNNNNNNNNNNNNNNNNNNNNNNNNNNNNNNNNNNNNNNNNNNNNNNNNNNNNNNNNNNNNNNNNNNNNNNNNNNNNNNNNNNNNNNNNNNNNNNNNNNNNNNNNNNNNNNNNNNNNNNNNNNNNNNNNNNNNNNNNNNNNNNNNNNNNNNNNNNNNNNNNNNNNNNNNNNNNNNNNNNNNNNNNNNNNNNNNNNNNNNNNNNNNNNNNNNNNNNNNNNNNNNNNNNNNNNNNNNNNNNNNNNNNNNNNNNNNNNNNNNNNNNNNNNNNNNNNNNNNNNNNNNNNNNNNNNNNNNNNNNNNNNNNNNNNNNNNNNNNNNNNNNNNNNNNNNNNNNNNNNNNNNNNNNNNNNNNNNNNNNNNNNNNNNNNNNNNNNNNNNNNNNNNNNNNNNNNNNNNNNNNNNNNNNNNNNNNNNNNNNNNNNNNNNNNNNNNNNNNNNNNNNNNNNNNNNNNNNNNNNNNNNNNNNNNNNNNNNNNNNNNNNNNNNNNNNNNNNNNNNNNNNNNNNNNNNNNNNNNNNNNNNNNNNNNNNNNNNNNNNNNNNNNNNNNNNNNNNNNNNNNNNNNNNNNNNNNNNNNNNNNNNNNNNNNNNNNNNNNNNNNNNNNNNNNNNNNNNNNNNNNNNNNNNNNNNNNNNNNNNNNNNNNNNNNNNNNNNNNNNNNNNNNNNNNNNNNNNNNNNNNNNNNNNNNNNNNNNNNNNNNNNNNNNNNNNNNNNNNNNNNNNNNNNNNNNNNNNNNNNNNNNNNNNNNNNNNNNNNNNNNNNNNNNNNNNNNNNNNNNNNNNNNNNNNNNNNNNNNNNNNNNNNNNNNNNNNNNNNNNNNNNNNNNNNNNNNNNNNNNNNNNNNNNNNNNNNNNNNNNNNNNNNNNNNNNNNNNNNNNNNNNNNNNNNNNNNNNNNNNNNNNNNNNNNNNNNNNNNNNNNNNNNNNNNNNNNNNNNNNNNNNNNNNNNNNNNNNNNNNNNNNNNNNNNNNNNNNNNNNNNNNNNNNNNNNNNNNNNNNNNNNNNNNNNNNNNNNNNNNNNNNNNNNNNNNNNNNNNNNNNNNNNNNNNNNNNNNNNNNNNNNNNNNNNNNNNNNNNNNNNNNNNNNNNNNNNNNNNNNNNNNNNNNNNNNNNNNNNNNNNNNNNNNNNNNNNNNNNNNNNNNNNNNNNNNNNNNNNNNNNNNNNNNNNNNNNNNNNNNNNNNNNNNNNNNNNNNNNNNNNNNNNNNNNNNNNNNNNNNNNNNNNNNNNNNNNNNNNNNNNNNNNNNNNNNNNNNNNNNNNNNNNNNNNNNNNNNNNNNNNNNNNNNNNNNNNNNNNNNNNNNNNNNNNNNNNNNNNNNNNNNNNNNNNNNNNNNNNNNNNNNNNNNNNNNNNNNNNNNNNNNNNNNNNNNNNNNNNNNNNNNNNNNNNNNNNNNNNNNNNNNNNNNNNNNNNNNNNNNNNNNNNNNNNNNNNNNNNNNNNNNNNNNNNNNNNNNNNNNNNNNNNNNNNNNNNNNNNNNNNNNNNNNNNNNNNNNNNNNNNNNNNNNNNNNNNNNNNNNNNNNNNNNNNNNNNNNNNNNNNNNNNNNNNNNNNNNNNNNNNNNNNNNNNNNNNNNNNNNNNNNNNNNNNNNNNNNNNNNNNNNNNNNNNNNNNNNNNNNNNNNNNNNNNNNNNNNNNNNNNNNNNNNNNNNNNNNNNNNNNNNNNNNNNNNNNNNNNNNNNNNNNNNNNNNNNNNNNNNNNNNNNNNNNNNNNNNNNNNNNNNNNNNNNNNNNNNNNNNNNNNNNNNNNNNNNNNNNNNNNNNNNNNNNNNNNNNNNNNNNNNNNNNNNNNNNNNNNNNNNNNNNNNNNNNNNNNNNNNNNNNNNNNNNNNNNNNNNNNNNNNNNNNNNNNNNNNNNNNNNNNNNNNNNNNNNNNNNNNNNNNNNNNNNNNNNNNNNNNNNNNNNNNNNNNNNNNNNNNNNNNNNNNNNNNNNNNNNNNNNNNNNNNNNNNNNNNNNNNNNNNNNNNNNNNNNNNNNNNNNNNNNACAACACUCUUCGUACCAUCGUAAGCACGCACCACAACAUCACUAGGUUUCAAUUCGAUGCUUUUACAGUCAAAUUUAUCGAGCACAGCUUUCGGUAGCACAUUCAAAGAAGAGCCGUUGUCGAUCAAUACAUGAGCCAAGGUGAUCCCCUUACACUCAAUGGAGAUAUGCAGAGCUUUAUUAUGAUUCUUUCCUGCUGGUGUCAGGUCAGCAUCGGAAAAGCCUAGGCCAUUGUCAACAACCAAGUUAGCAACAUAAUGUUCUAACUGAUCCACAGAUGUCUCUUGAGGUACAUGAGCGGUCUUCAAGAAUCUUAUCAACGCAUCGGCAUGAGAUUUAGAAGAUAACAACAAGGAUAACAUCGAAAUUUUAGACGGAGUAUGCCCCAACUGUUCUACCACAUCAAAAUCACUCUUACGGAUGAUUUUCAACAUUUCUUCCAUCUCCUGCUUGGAGACAUCUUCGGUAGUAACUUCGACUGGUGUCUUUGACUGAGAAGGAUUGAUUACUGGUUCCUUUCCUUGAGUUUCAGGGAUGGGAGGUGAGAUUUCUAGAGAGAAGAUCCUUCCACUUCGAGUAAUUUUACUAGUCCCAACAAUGUCAUUAGGAUUAGCAGAAUUAUCAACUUGCUUUACGCCAUGGACGUAAACAUCACCUCCAUAAUUCCACGGAAUGGCUUUGCUUGAGGAAUACGGUACUGGGCCAGGUGCAAUAAUAAUUAGGGGAGCUAUCUUGGGCUCAGUGGUAAUCUUCACAGGCACUCUAGUAGCGGUAAUCUUCACUGGAACUUUGGACCUAGCAAUCACAAAUAUUUCUUCAAUAGGGUUUUCCACCUUAGGUUAAUCUUCACUGGAACUUUGGACCUAGCAAUCACAAAUAUUUCUUCAAUAGGGUUUUCCACCUUAGGAAUCUUUUCAAAGAGAAUUGUAUGAUCGUCCAUCAGCCGUUGAAUACCAUUCCUCAAUUUCAGGCAAUCAUUGGGUCGGAGUAUACAGAGAUCGCAAUAUUCAGCACAACCUGGAAAUAAACCAGCUUGCAAUAAAUUCCUCUUGAUGAUCAGGAGGGGAGAUGCUAAGUCGGCCACAUUAGUAAUGUGAGAAUUAUCAUCCACAACAUUAACAGUCUUGUCAUGAUUAGGCAUAGGUGCAGUGAUGACAUUGGGAGUCUCCGGAGGAUCAAAUUCAAUUUCUCUAGCGUCGAUCAUAUCCUGAAUCUUAUUCUUCAACAACCAGCAAUCGUUUGUAUCAUGCCGGGGGCUAUCAGAGUGAUAUGCACACCUGGCAUUGGGAUUAUAACGAGGAGAAGUAGUGUUGAGAUUUGCAGGAGGGCCUCUGAGGGUAAUUAAAUUUGCCUUUAGCAUACCCUGCAGUGCUUGUGCUAAAGUCAUAUUGAUCUUGGUAAACUGCCUUCUUGGCCUGUCUUGUCUGUGCUGGAGGUUUUGAGAUGGCGGUGCUGCAAUCGUAACUGCUCCAAUGGUAUGGUCACGGUUUUUCUUGUUAUGGCCCCUUUCACCGUACACAGCAUUUGAUUCGCUCCUCCCCUGAUAGGGCUUUUUGGUGCUUGCAGAGGUAGCCGCCUGUAUCUUUCCACUUCGAAUGCCGCUUUCAACGCGUUCACCUGUCAAUAUAAGUUCAGUGAAACCCGAUGAAGAACUUCCCAGUAGAUGGCUGUAGAAUGGGCCAGUCAGUGUACCCAUGAACAUGUCCACUAAUUCUCGAUCAGUCAUAGGGGGUUUGACUCUGCCAGCCAAAUCUCUCCAUUUUUGAGCAUAUUCUUUGAAGCUUUCUUUAGAGCCCAUAGUCAUAUUCUGCAACUGUAGCCGAGUAGGCGCUAAUUCAGAAUUAUACUGGUAGUGCUUGUAGAAAGCUGUCGCUAAAUCAGUCCAGGUGCGGAUGUUAGAGCUCUCGAGCUGAUAAUACCACUCCAACUGUGUGCCAGACAGACUCUCUUGGAAGAAAUGGAUCCAUAGCUUCUUAUCAGUGGUAUACGGCUGAAUCUUUCUCACAUAAGCUCUCAGAUGCAUCUGAGGACAAGACGCACCAUCAUACUUAGUGAAAGCGGGGACCUUGAAUUUGCGGGGAAUGACCACAUCAGAGACCAGACCUAAGCUUUCGAAAUCCAGACCGGGCGCCUUCUGACCCUCCAUAGCUAGCAUGCGUUCUUCCAGCAACUUAUACUUAUCAUCUUUUGGAGAGUACUGUUCAUUUUCAUAAUCUUCAUCGUCAUCCUCAGGGUUGAAGGGAUCAGCAUUCUCAUCUUCUGAAUCUGUCUCUGUUUCCUCUUCUUGAUCCUUCGGAAUUCUGAUUUUGAUUCCCGCAGCCUGUCCUUUAAGCCUUCUUCCCGGGUUAAUGUAACUCACAGCUUUCUUGUCUUUCUUUUUCUCGAGCAAGAGAGCUUUCAGUUCCUCCUGCCCCCUGGAUAAGUUCAAGAUCAUCUCCUGGAGUUGAGCAUUCUGAGCAUGGAGAUCCUUGACAGUUUGUUCGAGGUCCAUUUUUCUGUUUGGAGGAAAACCGUGAGAACACUGAUCCCUUUAGAGUACCUGUUAUGCAAUGUUAUGUUAUGCUAUGCAAUGUAUGAAAUGUUUUCAAGGACUUUUGGAAUUUAACUUUGCGUAAACCACCAAAAAGGGGAACUUUUAUUAAUAAUUUCUUUAAUCAAUGUUCAUUACAAGAAAAAAUGAAAGCUCAAGUCUCCCAGGGACGGCUUCUUUUUGGGCGGAGAUAUGCAUUGAGUCUUCGUUCCUCAUUAAGCUGGCUGGUGAGCUCUAAUACUUUCUUCCUUUCUGCACCGAACUGAGUUUCAAAAGUAUCCCUUUCCUCUCUCAACUGGAUCCAGGAUCUCUUCAAUUCUUCAACAUUGGUAGGCAUAUCUGGAUAAGGAAUGAUCUGAGAAGUAUCUCCUUCAAUUCCUGGUUCAACAAUCAGCGGUCCGACUGCAAGAUAUGGCAUGGUAAGCUCACGAGCUCUGACGCGUACCCAUCUGAGAUAAGGUUCCAUAGGAAUAGAGUUUUUUUGUCUUAAGGUACUUCUUUUCACCAUGCCCCAAGCUCGUACAAAUCUUUGACGGAGACCUUGGGAAUCGUUGUCAUAGUCAAACACAGUGCCUUGGAUAAUUAUUUCAUGUGGACCAUCUCUUCGAGCACAACCGAAUUGACGUAGGGCUAAAGCAGGAUUAUAAGUAAUACCUCCCCUCAUCCCUAGGAGUGGUACGUUAGAGAAUUCUCCACAACGGUCAAUGAUGAUAACAUUUUCUUUGAGAUGAGGACACUAACGGAUGUCUGAAUGGGAAAGCGACAUUAUCCUGUGAGACCAUUUCAAAUUUUGCUCAUUCUUCAAUGAGGAAGGUGCGAAAUAAACCACCUAGAUAAUAAAGGUAUGCAGCACAUGAGAGUCCCUUGCCUUUUCACAGUACGGGUGUGAAGGGAAUGCAAAAUGUCUCCAAGCAAGGUAGGCACAUGAUUAUGAGUGAGAAAUAUCUUAAUAGCAUUCAUAUCUAUGAAUUGGUCUGGAUUAGGAAAUAACACCAAACCAUAGAUUAGUAAUGCUAGAAUAUCUUCGAAAGCAUGGACAUUCAUAAUUUUUAAGAAUUCUCGGGCCUUAUUUAUCAGAAAUUUGGCAAGUAGACCCUUAAUUCCACUUCUUGUUACCCAAUUGGUUUCAAUGUCGAACUUUGUCAUGUGUAAAGCUGCGGCAACUUCUUCAGACUUCAGAAUCUUUUCUAAACCACUGAAAUGUGUUUGAUCAAGGAUAGGUAUCCCAAGCAGCCUGGAAAAUUCUUCUAAUGUGGGUACCAACUGAUAAUCUGGGAAUGUGAAGCAAUGAUGUUUAGGAUCGAAGAACUGGAAUAGGACUCUCAUCAUAUCUCUCUUUUGAAACGGUAAGAACUUAAAUGAGGAGAGAACCAUGUUUCUUGAUAAACUGAGCCUGAUCGGGAAGUUCUGACACUAAAUCCUUGAGUUGAGGAGAGAUUGCUACAAAAUUGAUCCGGAUGGUCUUCCUGGGAGCCAUAGCCUUUCAAAACAGAGCAAAGUUAAAUCCCUAAGUCCUUGAAAUGGUUAGUACAAUGCCAUGAUGUUAUGAUGUUAAACAAAUAACAAGCACAAACAAGUCGCACAACAAUCAUUCCUAGGUUUUAAGGCUUGCAUGAGUUCCAUAGGUAAGUACCCUCCCCACUGAAGUUUGGUUGGUUUAACCUGUCCUAGAAUAGUAAUCGGGUUCUAGAAGGAUCUCAAAUCAUCGACCUUUCCUUAAGUCCACUUCAGUGCAACACCGAGCGGUUGACCAAAAUUUCCCUAAAGUCCAAUCUCAAAGAGUGUAGUAUCGAGUAUCAACCAACCCCAGUCGGAACCGAAGUCAGUUAUCUCACUACUUUCUAAUGGCUAGGAUGAGUCAAUUAGGUUUCUAAAGGUCUGGUUAAUGCUUUGAUGACACCACGCAGACGCCAAAUUUUUCCUCAAGUAAACAUGAGGAACAUCAGGACAUCUAAAGUGUCACAUUAACCGUAGCCAUCAUGUUUAAACCAUUUCCAGUAUACGCCGGAUAGUCGCGAUGAGCGUCUUGCUAUUACCUAAGGUACACUAGAUCCGGGUGUGACUUUUCACUCAAGCUCAUUAAAAUACCCAAGCAAUCCUUAACAGUAAAUCAACAAUUCGACUAAGCUGAUCUUUUUUAUUUUUCAUUUUUUAUUUUUUUUUAAUGGGCAACCUCUCUUUGUUAAGUUUAUGUCCCCAGCAGAGUCGGCCCAGUUCUGUCAUCGGUGAUAGCAUGACUUUCGGAGUGCUUUGCUUUGGAAUAAGCAAAUGUCGCGUGAUAGCAAGGUCGCCACGACUUUUCUUGAUCAAAGAAAGGUGGAAAAGAACAGGAAAGAACCUUGAUAUAGAUUUUCGGCGUUUGCGGGAGGCUAAUCAUUAUACAAAGGAAGUGUUAGCACCCUUAUAUCCAUGGUUACUCAUGGGCUUCUUAAUUGCUUGAUCACUAUGUUUUGCUUUGUUUGAAAGUGUUUGGAGCUGUUUGAGAAAAUGUUUUGAAAAGAGAGUUUACUUGUAAUGAUUCUCUGUACGAAUGUAUUACAAAGUAUUAGUAUCUCGUUUAAUUUUGAAGCUGUUGAAAGUAUACUUGGCAGUUCAUAGUAACGAAUGGAUAUACCAAGUGGUGAUUUUCUAGUAGAUGUUUUGCAAAAGUAUGAGGUGUGAAAAGUAUUUUAAGUUGUGAGUAAGCACUGGUAAGAGUCUAUUACCUACCAGGUUUUCAUGGCAUUCCUAUCCUCUAUGAGCGGUUAAGACUGUCCUUACUAUUGAGAAGAAGUAGUCGUUCCUUUGGAUGUAAAGGGAAAUCGUUAAGGGUCAUCUCGAAUUGGUCAUUGAGGCCAACGAUUUGUAAGAUAACCUUAGCAUUCGAAGGGACCGCAUCAUCAUUGAACGAAGGCUCAACGACGGGGCCAUCGAGGACAAUAAUCCGUAUAUCGAAGGCAUACAUUCGAGGGACGUAUGAUGUUAUCUGUUAUAGGGACGUUGAUGAUUUAAUCGAAGGUACUUUCUAAGGUGUAUCCCCGCAGUUCGCGGUACAAUGACCGUAAUACGCUACAGGUAUACCGUAACGGCAACAAGGAGGCCAAACACAUGCAUUCAAAGGCAACCAUUCUGUAAUCAUGUUAGAUAAUUAGAAUAGAUCGUCCGAAGAGGUAUCCCACAAUAAAAGCUUGAAUAGCACCUAGCAGGCUACCUUCUUCGGGGAUAUGUGGAACCCUACCAAAAGUCAACAAACGGGUUUAGAAUACAAAACGCGGUGCAAUUGAGAGUUGCACCAAACAAAGAAUUCACGAGCAGUAGCUAGGAAUGUCAGGCCAAUAAUACACCGCGUUAUAAGAAAACAUGUCAAGAUAAGCACAUACGAAAGAACAAAAUCAGCGCGGACUGUCCUGUUCGGCUUACUGCCUCGGCCUAGCGAAGGCCUUGGCGAACACUUCGGCUACGUGUGUUCGCUGCGAGCCGCACGGGGGUGCGUAGCGGCAACGGCUGCGGCGGUUUGAGUUUGAUAAACAGCGUUAUCCGAUUCGAACUCCGAACCCUGUAUGGCAUUCCAUUACAGAAAUUUCCACGGCUCUAAACACUUUCGAGGUAUUCAUGCCAUACUUAAAACCCACAUGCAACAAUCUAGACUACAUACUCAAAAUUCUAAUAUAAGUGGUGCUCAUGUUAUUUAGAGAUUACAAUUGGCAAAUUGUAAAACGGUAGUGUAUUGCCGGCUCAAAACUGUUUGCGACUUGACAUCGUGCACCAGUCCGAACCUUGGCCAGAUCACUCUUUAGGGCUUUAUACGGAUCGAGUGGGCGGAGUAACCUUUGUGCAGGUGAGUUUCCUUCAGGGUUUCCUUUAGGGUUGCUCUGAAUUCUUUUGGUUAGCCUCCAGGGUUUGCUCUCUGUGCGUGUUUGUGUUUCUCCUUUUCUCCUCUGUUUUUUCGUCCUCCCCCUUUUCUGAAUGAGGUCUUGGUAUUUAUAAUAGUUUUUGUGACCUGAUGGGCUCAGAAUGAAGCCCAAAAUUUCUGGUAUUCGCAAGCUUCGCUAGACGAGUGGUGCAGCGAAGAGUUCGCUAGGCGAAGGAUUUGCUCGCCUAGCGAGCAUGCCAGUUUGAGUCAUUUUCUGGAUUUGGCCACCUGGGAGCUGGGUCUUUGUUCCUUUAAGAUCAAUGUCUUGAACAAUGAGUUGGAGUGCCUUGAAGAAUGUCUUGAAAGAUUAACGGGCAAAUUUUGGGGUAUGACAGGGAGCAUUGAAUAUUGUGAGACUUUUUUUUCUAGAGCAACACCUUUGUGAGAGACACACCGCAUAUUCACCAAAAACCUUAAAGUGAUAGGUGAGUGAGCUCUCUGACUUAUAAAUGCUCAAGUCUCCACAUUACCAACCAAUGUGGGACUAUUAUCCAUACUACUCACACUUGAUUCAUUCUCAACAAUAACACUACCUCACAUAUUAUAAAAAACUCUAAAAUUUAUUCUUAGCAAUGCCAACCAAUGUUCAAUUAUUGAGCAUAAUUGUAAUGUAACUAGAAUCAUACAUAUGGAUGUGUCUUACAAUUGUACAACCUACCAUUUUAACAUGUUUAUAUUUUAAUCACUCCUACACAUAUAUAUUGAUUAUAAUGAAUUUCACAAGCCCUGCCUUCGUAACCAAUAAAUAUCAAUUAUAAUGAAUUUUAAGAUGUGUCUGUUAUAGAUUGCUUGACAUAUAACCAUUUCAACUUCCAAUAAUUAACCAUUUUCCAUACUAAAAUAAUCAAGUGAAAAUGAUAAUCAUUUUCUCCCACUUUUUGUUUACUUUUAUUGAAAAUGUUAUUCGAUAUGAUACAAUUAUUAUGAAUUAAGUAUAACAAUAAAUAAGAUAUAACAAUACAUCACACAAAAACACAAGAAUAAACCAAUAAUGCCAUUUGACAUUGAUGGUGAUUCAAUACAUUAAACUCUUUCCAAAUAAUAUCAUAUACUAAACAAUUUAAAAUAAAAUUUCACCAAUUGGACCACCUCGUUUAAGUCUCACAACUGUAGCCCCAAUUACAAUAAAACUAAAAAAAAGCUCAUGUAUAUCCUCUUGCUACAGAUACACUAAAUCAUACCAAAAAAAAAAAAUAAUUUCAUUUUAUGAAAAUAACUCAAUCCUAACAAAAUAAAAAUCACAUCCAAAUGCUAAUACAAAAGAGAGAAAAAAAAGUAAAGACUAAUAAUAAAAGACUUAGAUUUGUUAUGGCAAUAUAUGCAACCGAAAAACGAACUUAUGUAAAAUUAAGGUUUGAAUGGGAAAAUGGAGAGUUCAAAGGAACUUAGGAUUUUGGGAGAUUAAUCUUAAAAAAAAAAGCUAAAGUAAUUUCAAACAAAUAAUAUUGAAUUGUAGGUUUCGAAUGGAAAUAUUUUAUGGAUAAUUUUAGACCUGGUGCAAAUCUAAAAUUAUCGACUCUUUCUUACUAGAAUUUAGGCUCGAUGGGUUGGAAGUCAUAUUCAUAUGAGAAUGAUGUUAUAAAUUACAAUGAAAUAUUGUAUAUAUUAUAUAUGUUCGACUUUUAAACCAUAAUGAACGACGAGGUUAAAUCCGAGGUCUUAAGUUUGAGCAUGGUAAAAAUCUAAAAAUAAUAUUUUUAUUGUUUAUUUAAUAAAAUAACCAGAAUCAGAAUCAAACUUGUGUGUAGAGCUUAAAAAUGAGGUUGGAUAAGUUGUAACAAAAUAAGUUUCAUUGCUCGCACGGUUCAAAAUGGGGUGACGAUUUUUAUAACCUUUGCAAAUAAGGUUUUUGGGUUGUUGGUAAGCAAACCAUCAUAAAUUAUUUUUAUUUAUUAUUAUUUUUCUAAAUCAAGAGGUGGUUGGAUAAAACCAUUGCUUGCAAAGCACACAAUACAUAACAAAUACAAUUUUAUUAGAAUCGUUGCAACUUAUGUCUCGCAAAAUAUUAGGUUUUAUAUAUAUAUAUAUAUAUAUAUAUAUAUAUAUACUAUAUAUAUAUAUAAUAAUAUAUUAUAUAUAUAUAUAUAUAUAUAUUAUAUAUUAUAUAUAUAUAUUAUAUAUAGAUAUAUAUAUACUAUAGUAUAUUAUAUAUAUAUAUAUAUGAUUGACUCCACUUUGAGUUAACUCUAAAAUUCACUCUAAAAUUCAAAAUGUCUCUUACAAAAAUAUAUCUAAACACAUGCAUUAAUAUUAAUUUUUGCUCAAUUUUUAUUUAAUUUUUUUAAACAAUAUACAAUUUACAAUUUACAAUUUUAAAAUAGAUAGAUAUAAAUUUGAACACAAUUAUGCCACACUAGUUCCAUUUACUAUCAUUUAACAUCUAUUUAACUAAUAAAAAUAUAAGAAGAUUUGACUAACAAAUAAUCUAAAAACAUUAUUUAAAGAUUCAUUAAAAUAUUUAUACAAAUUAGACAAUUGAGAGAAAAAUAAAUGAGAAAAUAAGAGAUUUUCAUUAUGAGUGUAAAAUAAUUUUAUAUUAUCAAUCAAUAAUCAUCAUAUAUUUUUGUCAAAUUACAAGUUAUCUUAUAAUAAAUAUAUAAAAACUACUCAAUUUCUUAAACAAUUAAUAAGAAUAUAUUUUUUUAGCAUUUUUCAUAUAUAAAUAUAACAUUCCUUUGACAAAAAUCUACUUAAAAAAUAAGACUAAAGAUAGGAAAAAAAACAAAGAUGAAGCAGUAGUUUAGCUGUAGACUCGUGGACCUAUUACAACUAGUAGUAAAUGAGUUGGAAACUCAUCGGUUCUCAGACAGUUAGGCCCACUACAGGCCCAAGAUCCGGGAAAUUAGAUCUACAAGCGCGUAAAUUGUGCCCAAUCAAAUCCAAGGACUCCCAUAAUAUAAACUAAAAGAAUAUUCUAGAAGAAAUUUGAAACCCUAACUAUAUAAGCUAACUCCCACUACUAAGUACUUCCUUUCAUUUCUAAUCACAGUUUCAGGCUGUGAUUUCCACCCUCUUCCUCUCAGAUCCCUCUCUUUUGCGUAACGAACCAAAAGAGUGAAAUCCAAUGGCCGGAAAGGGAGAGGGACCGGCUAUCGGAAUCGAUCUCGGAACUACAUACUCCUGCGUCGGUGUGUGGCAACAUGACAGAGUUGAAAUCAUCGCCAAUGACCAAGGAAACAGAACCACGCCGUCGUACGUCGCUUUCACCGACUCCGAACGUCUCAUCGGUGAUGCCGCUAAGAAUCAAGUCGCCAUGAACCCUAUCAACACCGUUUUUGGUUAGUUAUUCUACGUCUUACUUUUUUUGCUCAAUUAACUCUUCUAUUUGCUAGAUCUAUCCGUUAUUUUUUGAAUAUUUACUUGUUUAUUGUUUUUUUAUUACUAAUUUGUUAAUUAGUUACUUUUUAGUUAAAUCCUAAUUUAGAAUUUGUUAAAUGUAUUUAUUGCUAAACUUGUACAUACCUAUAAAUCAUAAUUUUACCGUUCAUGAUGCCUUCUUUUGACUUGCUACGAUUAAUUAGUACUAUUGUGUAGUAUCAUGAAUCAUGAUGAUUCAUCACUAAAAAUGUGUUGUGAGGUACUAAGAUGUACAUGAUGUGUCUUUCGAGUUGGUAGGUUUCAAUUUAAUUGAUGUAUGGAUUUUUAAAUUCAAUGAAGUUGAAAUGUUUUUUGGGUUGCUAUGAUUCAAUCAAGUUUUCUCUAGUCUUAGUGAUAUAUUUGGAUGUAACUUUUAUGCUGUAUGAUAAGCCAGAUUUAUUUGAAAAUAGACUAGCAGUGUGAAAACUAUAGUAAUGAAACAUGAUUUUUUUUUAAAUUUUUGUUUACCUCUUUGAUCUAUGUUGCAAUUACUUUAUUAUAAUGUGUAUUGUGUGUAGUAUUUUUUUGGAUGUAUGUUUGAUAGGCUGCAUGCUGUGCUUGGUUCAUCUCAUAGUAGAUGAGAUGUUGAAUUUGUGAUACUAAGAUGGUUUUCACUUUUACAGAUGCCAAGAGGUUGAUUGGUCGUAGAGUCUCUGAUGCAUCUGUUCAGAGUGACAUGAAGUUGUGGCCUUUUAAGAUUAUUGCUGGUCCAGCUGAAAAGCCAAUGAUUGUUGUUAACUACAAGGGUGAAGAUAAGCAAUUUGCAGCUGAAGAGAUCUCUUCAAUGGUUCUGAUGAAGAUGCGUGAGAUUGCUGAAGCUUACCUUGGCUCUGCAAUUAAGAAUGCUGUUGUUACUGUCCCUGCUUACUUUAAUGAUUCCCAGCGUCAAGCUACUAAGGAUGCUGGCGUGAUUGCUGGUCUUAAUGUCAUGCGAAUCAUCAAUGAGCCCACUGCUGCUGCCAUUGCAUAUGGGUUAGACAAGAAAGCAACAAGUGUUGGUGAAAAGAAUGUCUUGAUUUUUGACCUUGGUGGUGGUACUUUUGAUGUCUCUUUGCUUACUAUUGAAGAGGGUAUCUUUGAGGUGAAAGCCACAGCUGGAGACACCCCAGGUCUUGAGUGAGGAUUUUGAAUAACACAAUGGUGAACACUUUGUUCAGAGUUCAGAAGACAAAGAACAAGAAGGACAUAGUGGCCAACCUAGGGCAACUCAGGCGAUUGAGGAAUGCAUGUGAGAGGGCGAGAGAACUCUUUUCAUCUACUGCCCAGACUACUCAUUGAAUUGGGACUCUCCUAUUUGGAGGAAAUGAUUUUCUACUCCCAUUACGCGUGCCAGAUUUGGGAGCUCAACAUGGAUCUCUUAGGAAAUGGUAUGGAACCAGUUUGAGAAAUGUUUGAGAGAUCCAAAUGGACAAAAAAAAGCAUCCAUGAUGUUGUUCUUGUUGGUGGUUCUACUAGAAUUCCAAAGGUUCAACAACUUUUGCAGGAUUUCUUUAAUGGAAAGGAGCUAUGCAAAAGCAUUAAUCCCGAUGAGGCUGUUGCGUAUGGAGCUGCUGUCCAGGCUGCAAUUUUGAGUGGUGAGGGGAAUGAGAAGGUGCAGGAUCUUCUCCUUCUUGAUGUUACCCCUCUCUCUCUUGGUUUGGAGACUGCUGGGGGUGUGAUGACUGUUCUGAUCCAAAGGAAUACCACCAUUCCAACAAAGAAAGAACAGGUUUUCUCAACCUAUUCUGACAACCAGCCUGGUGUGUUGAUCCAAGUCUUUGAAGGAGAGAGAACAAGGACUAGGGAUAACAAUUUGUUGGGCAAGUUUGAACUUUCUGGUAUUCCUCCUGCUCCCAGAGGUGUUCCCCAAAUUACUGUGUGCUUUGACAUUGAUGCCAACGGUAUAUUGAAUGUCUCUGCUGAAGACAAGACUACCGGGCAGAAGAACAAGAUCACCAUCACAAAUGACAAGGGUAGGCUUUCAAAGGAUGAUAUUGAGAAGAUGGUUCAUUUGACAUUGAUGCCAACGGUAUAUUGAAUGUCUCUGCUGAAGACAAGACUACCGGGCAGAAGAACAAGAUCACCAUCACAAAUGACAAGGGUAGGCUUUCAAAGGAUGAUAUUGAGAAGAUGGUUCAAGAGGCUGAGAAGUACAAGUCUGAGGAUGAAGAGCAUAAGAAGAAGGUUGAAGCCAAGAAUGCAUUGGAAAACUAUGCAUACAACAUGAGGAACACCAUCAAGGAUGACAAGAUUGCAGGCAAACUUGAUUCUGAAGACAAGAA